rnacentral:lncRNA from 1 species
AAAUUUUCGAAGUUUUGGUGCUCUCGGGGUCCGGACCCUCUGCAGGGUGUGGACCCUAUAGGCGAGAACUGCCCGGUACAGGCUGCCCUGUUUUGAGAAAAAGAGAGGGGCUAAUGUGCAAAUGUGCAUGUGUGUGAGUGUUUAUAAGUGUGGUUAGGGUUGUUAGCCCUCACUUCUCUCACUUCAACCCAACAUGAGAGCUCUCUUUCUCUCUCUAGAUUUCUCUCUCUCUUUCCUUGGGAUGACUCCAAUGGUGGAGACUGGUGGAGAAGAGCUUGCUAGGUGGUGAAGAAACCCUCUCAUGGCAACCUUGCUUGGAGGAAAGCUUCGAUUUGAGAUAAGUAUCCUAAAUUUUGAGGGUUUUGUGGUUAGGGUUUGGUAUUUCCUUCUAGCAUAUGCUUCUAGAGGAUUAUAUGGUGGAUUUCAGCAUGCUUCUGUCACGCCCCGGGAUCCCUUUUUAUUUGAACACAGCGGAAAAAGCGUCUAAAUUUUUUUUUUUUUGAAAACCUGACCCCAGAGUAUGCCAGAUCCGCCACAAAUACAGGGAUUCCACUGUUCACACGGACAGAGUCUUCCCUGUAUUUGCACGGCGUCGCACAAGUACAACAGUACAAACAGGAUACAACCACAACUAAAUGAAUAUAGAAAUAAUUAUUCAUUCAUACAUUCAUACAUUCACCAUUCACAUCACAGAUUUGCAUUUAAUAUUUAAACAUAAAUCCACAGAAAAUUCUUUUGAAAACUGUUUCCUAUACAGAAACCUUUAUCCUUUAAAAGCACUACCACGAGGGGUAGAAAACCUUUCCAUUUCACAAAAUUCACAAAUCCAUUUAUUACAUUCAUGAAAACCCAUAUUUUCAAAUGUAAUAAAAUAUACUGAACCAUAUAAACUAUCUAAGCUAUAUCAACAUAAUAGUAANNNNNNNNNNNNNNNNNNNNNNNNNUGCCAAUAAACGUCUCUUUGACCAAAUGCUGUUGGACUAGAAAAUACAUUCCAUAACAUCAUUAAAACAAGAUCUGGUCAUUCUUCCGCACUCUUAUUACAGUACUAGAGCGCACGACUGUCACCAGGUCUGGCACUGCUGAGCGUAAGUCAAACAAGACAAAUAUUUCUCAAAGCAUACGAACGUUACUUUCGAGCUCUCACCCAAGACAUGGGUAACGAGAAAGCAUUAAUGACACACUUAGUGACAUUAACACCCUUGACAAAGCGAAAGAUAGAUAAACUUUGAAAGUGCUCAGCUCAAAUGUUACGCAUCCCAGAGGAGUACCCAAAUAUCUGACCUGUCUUUGCAAUUUUAAUCUUCCACUAACCUUUGCAAAGUCAGUGCUCGCCUCCAAUCAGGUGCAAAUCUACAAUACCAUUGAGCAGCGAUUAAAUGAAAUGUAAAGUGAACAUCGAAGCCUGUAUAUCCUACCCUAUCAAGAUUUCAGCUCGUGUAAUUUAUCGAACCAUAAGCAUCACAAAAUGAUUUCACAUUAAGGCGACAAUUGAAUCUCAGGAAAUAAAAUCUGUGCUUGAUUUGUGCAAUAAUAUUAGAUUAGCUAGAUCAUGUCACGUAUAUCCCUGUCAAUCUGCAACAAUACAGAAUAUCUCUUGCGUAAUAAAUGCAGUCCAGAUCUCUAUCGAAUAACCUCUCCAUAGCACUAUGGUCGUACUGGCAGGUGAUUCAUCGAAAGUCUGCUCAUGGCAUCAUGAGGCAAAUGCAGUACCGUGAGGCUCAAACGAGCAGCACAAGAAGCGGCAAUUCACUAGGUGAAGACAGAUUCCUCUGACAACUAGUGAACAAACUGUCGUACAACACAUAUUUCGCGACAAAGGAUCGCAAGGUAAUGGUAGAAAUCUAAACUUUUGUGAGAAUACGUGUACGUAUACCAACCUUUGCAAAUUGAUAGAACAACUCAUAUUGAUACUAUUCUAGCAUACACAUAGGAAAGAUACAUCAAUCAAGAUCCCAAAUAAAUGAUCAUAUUAGCCUGUAUCGUCGGCCAAUAAAGCUACAAAUGCUAUUGCCCUCUGGCAAAGCGAGAUACAAUAACAAGCGAAUAAGACCAAUACAAGUGGCAGUUAAGAGGACGUAUCCAACAUUUUAUGCCUGCAGCAUCUUCUAAUCUAGGAAUCAGAUCCUCACACGUGCUGGCGCCGUGCCAUGAGUGUCUAUGCUCUUGAGUGAUGUGAACACGCCCGAGUCGUGUGAGAUUUCCAGCCUGAACCAGUUCGAGACGACAAUGUUAAUCUUGCUCUCUGUACCCCCAAAAAGAUAACUUAAAACAUGUCAUCUCACUAUUGCUUGAGGAAAUGACUAGUUAAGCAUUUUGUUCGCAAACUCUAGACUGAGCUGCACGACCAUAUAGAACAACUCGUCCAGUGCAUGUAAUCGUUUCUUCUCCACUACAAACCAUCACGCCACGUCUAUGGAUAUCAACUCUCCGUGCUCUAGGGGUGCUCAAUACGUGAGGACAAAUAGGUGAUGAAGGGUCUGUCGUCACCUCAGUCAGGGCAACCAACUGUGCACGUCAGCAUCAGGGGAUGCGCAUGCCUAGGUCGCGACACCGUCGCUCCAACAACAGGGGUGCACCUCGCCUCCGGUCUGUCGGGCCUGCUCUCCAUGUCGAGGUACUCUGCUCACAUCUGCUCAGGUCUCUCAGGGGCAUCCCGCACGAUCCCCGCGCCAACUGGGCACCUCUCGCACGACGGUCGACCUCGGCGAUGAUACAUAGCUGAAAGAACAAAUCGGGGUCAGAUACAACCGCACACUACUCCGACCCAAUCAACGAAAGUCUAUGAAGGUGGUCCCUGUUUCCUCCAAAAUACGUCGUCUGCAGGCAAAUAAUUUCUCAGGCCAAAACAGAACUCCUUCAAUCACUCACGACCCACUCUAGGAGGAGUUAGAAUCGGAUAACAUUGACUUUCGGCAAUAAAAUUACCCUCUACGGCGUCUUACUUUCCUAAAAGGUUUGCCCAAUUAAGGUUCUGCCUCAGGUCCCAACGACCCUAUAGCAACGGCUCCUGAUAUAACAUUAAAAUCUGUCACGCCGCCGAUAUCUCGUUCCCGGCAUGUGGCGCCGACAAAUCCGCCGUAUACAAAAGGAAUUUCCCGCUGUAUACGAAGCGCAAAGUACUGAAGAAUAUACGAUACUAACAUACAGUAGCAUAGAGCCUCAACAAAGACUAAAUAAUGAGUUCAUAUACAUAGCUAGAAUCCAAAAUACAAGGCGCUACUCGCAUUGGCGAGUCUAAACAACUAUGUAGCAUAACUCCAAAACAACAACUAACCUGGGGCAGUAGGGAAGCCCUCGUAGCUCUGACUGUCGGGUAGGGCUCUAGCUGCGCAACGCCUCCUCGCUCGAUCCUGGUCGUCGGAAGAUGCAGCAGCCGGCACCUGUGACUACUACAAAAACAUAAGUAACACGAGGCACCGUCGUGAUUGAAUUCCGAACCGAAACCUGCGUUCUAAGUCGACGGAUUUCGCCGAAAAACGCAUCGAAAAUCACUUUUCGAUUCGCGCAAGGGCUUGGGGCCUUGGACGAUCAGUCCAGAGGUUAUCGCUCGAGCCCAAACAUGCUGCCUAACAGCAAUCUACACGAAGCAAAGUCCUAAAAGCCGCCAUACCGAUACAUGAAAUCCGCAUCAUUUUAUGGUGCUUUCUAGCUCUUUUCUGUGACGCGUGCACACAAACGCAGAGUCGAUUAUACCGACGUCGCACUUUGCUGACAGGUUUCAUCAGUCGGAGGCCCGUGCUCCUACCUUCGGACACUGCGGACCACUGCGGUGCGCGCCGGAGUGACACAAUUAUGAAACCAGUGCGCACAGCGCGAAAGGUCGCGACUAACUUGCUAACCAGUACAUUUUUGCUCGCUGUGAGUGAGCAUCGUGUUCAGGCACGACACCCUAGACCAUCGUGCUCAUUUCUCCGGGUGUCGGGAAGUCAUCGGAUCACCGGAAAGGUGCCAGAAAGCUUAAUUUGCAAUGCUGGAACUCAAAAGCAGGCAUACCGGAGCAGUUGGGAGCUAGGGUUUGGUCGCACGGGCGGCGCGGAGGGCGGGCACUCCGGUGGGAUGGAGCAGACGGUCCGACGAGGCCCGGGGAGGGUGCUGGCCGGCGCGCGGGCGGCAAACUCGGUGGGCGCGGACGGAGAUCGACUCCGCGCGCAGUCCCCUCUCGAUUGCUAAUGGCUUCCGCGGCGGCAGGCGACGAGGAGAAGUCGGGCGGGCUUACGGUGCGCCGGGCGGCCGGGCGCGAGGGGAGGGCGGUGCACCCCUGGUGGGCGGCGGCGGCGCUUGGAAGCCGAGAGCGGGCCCGACCUCAGGCCCGCACAGGUCUGGCGCCACGAGAAGGUUCACGUGGCGGGCGGCGCGCGCGGGACGGCGGAGGACGCGCACGUCCGGUUGCCGGAGGUCGCCGGCCAAAAGGAGGCACGUCGUGGCCGAGAGGAAGCGUGGUCGCAGAGUGCUUGAGCCGGCUCGGACAGGCUGACUCCGAGUUGGCCGCAGGAGAGAGGGUGGCUCCGGCGGCGCUCGGGUGGCCGGGGCCGCGGGGGAAGCCGGGGAAUGGGUCUCGGCCAGGGAAAGAUGGGCUCGGCUUUGGAUCUUCCCCAACACAGACGGAUCGAAGAUGUGGCAAGUCGGGGCUAGAGGGGAACCGGAGAGAAGGUUGGGGUGGCUUUUCCGGCAGCGGAGCAGCUCGCCGCUGCCGGGGCGUGAGCACUGGUUGGGCAGUGGUGGAGCGGGCCGGCGCUGUAGCAAGCUAGAAGAAAUUAGGGUUAGGGUCCCUGGUUGAACCUUAGAACUAUUUUUAUUCUAUGUGUACAAUUGCGGAGAACACCCUCCUAGUCAAGUAAUUCUUACAAGCCCGCGCGCCAGCAUGUGGAUUAUGCGUAUAGGGUCGCCUCGAACUUCCGAAUUCGCAGCAAGACCACGCAAAAAUAAGUUGGACGCUUUUCGCGAAUAAUCGAUUUUGCCAACCUUGACGUCUCUCAGGCGGAACUUUUCCGAUUCCGAAAGAUCGUUCGUCGGGAUUUCGAUCCGACUGAGCCAAUUCGGCGUUCAGUAGCAAACGGGAGCACGGAAACUACGAUUUCAAUUCUUAUCAUCCAAUUUGGCAGGCUUUCGCGACGGAACCCAUCCGCUCUCUAAUUAAUCCAUAUAUCGUACGUAUACCAAUGUGUAAACCCAUUAAACCAACUUUCGCAUUAGAAAUUGACUUCCCUACCACUAGUAGGGACCCGAAACAUUCUUCACCCUACUCCAGGUCACAAGCACGGAGCACGAGAAGCUUUAGAAUGCACAAAAAAAGCAAAGAGCGAAAACCCUCUUUUCGGUAAAACUCCUUUUUCUCGAAAACCGUGCAUCAGAUCUAAAAUCCGUCAGUGCCAUUGGUUUCAGAAUAGCUGAACCGAUCGAAACGAGCUAUUGGAUCGCUAUGAACAGAGUCCGAUACAUGCCGAAAGCCAACUCUACUCCGUAGCUUCUCCGAAAAAAUCGGGUUACUAUUCACUUUAAGUGAAAACUAAUAAUCACGUAACUUCUCCGUUCUAGCUCAUUUUCUCCUGAAACUUGAUGAGUGCUUAUGUAAUUAAAUUACACACAUAAACAUCAUCAACAGAGAGUUUAGUUGCACUGUAAAAAAUCUCAGUCCUUACAGCUUCUCUAUAUCUAGGGACCUAAUUGGAGAAGAUGAUUAAGUAGAGGGGCUUAUGUUAGGGUUUGGUUCAAAUGAGAUCCAAAUGAGUGAUUGAUCUUUUGUUACCCUAAUUGCUAGGCAAGCGAAUGUGUUGGUGAACUCGGUUCGGCGAUCCAACAAGUCUAUGCGGAGAAAUAAAAGGAAAAGCCUGUUUUGGCUCAGUUUUGCUGCAGUCGAGAGAAAUCGGCGUCCAAAAAUCGCGGGACUUGAAUCGUGGUCUUCUAGCAUCACUACAGGUGAGGGGUGCUAUCCGGAAUCGUUGAAUUUUUUUCUAUGUCUAUGUCGCCUUUUCUUGAGCAUAUAUGUGCGUUAUGACAUUCAUGCAUUGCAGAGUGGUGGGCUAUUGUUGGGAAUUAUGUAUAUGCUUUCAAUGUUGGUGAAUAUAUGAAUUGAUUAGUGGACCAUACACGUGAACCCUAUGAAUGUACGAAAUGAAUGUGGACUAUGAUUGUAGUAAACAAGGGUGACAUUGACAUUAGCUAAAAUGAAUUAUGUUGUAUGCUAGAUAAGGUAAAACCUUAAAAGCAUUGUGAGAUGUUGGAUUAUAAUGUUAGUAAACAUUAUGGGCAUUGAUAAAUGUUGAACUAUAAUAAUAAUGAGUAUUGUGGCAAGUGUGGCCCUGGAUAUUGUGGCUUGGUGAUAUUAGUGGCAUUAUGACAAUGUAACAUAGUGACCUUAUGUCACGCCCCGGGACCCAGCGGAAGCCCGCCCGGCGCGUGCUCAGACCCGCCAUACGUCUAAAACGUAUAAGGCGUCUAAGAACAACAAUAAUAAAAGCAAUAAUAAAAGACAUUUAGGAGUAUCAGAGCAUAAUAAAUGUCUAAAUGCUAUAACCAGGGAUAAGGAUAAAACUGUAAAUCCACUAAAUAAAACAUAAAGUGAUACAAGGAAAUCCCAGAUACAAGUGCUAUAGGUAGAUACAUAGGUGGUCUCUAUACAUGGAUACAAAAACCUCUCACUCUCUCUACUACAAAAAGAAAGAGUAAACCACCUAGGCAAAGUACCGCUCCUCACUAGCUAGCUAAGCGAUCCCCUUGCCGCGAUCCCGUGCCUCCGCCGGUGCCGAAGGCUCUGAAAGUAAACCAUAAAACAGGGGCGUGAGAACUAUUAAAAAUAGUUCCCAGUGGGCAAUUACUGACUUCAGUGAAUGCACCACGAGGCCCAAAGCUACAAAAGAUGUCAGUGACUAACAAUGUAGUAAAGCGAAAGGUAAGUAAAAUGUAACUCACUAUAACAUGGAAUUUCUACUUAGCAUGAUUUGCACAAGUAAUGAAGCAACGAUAUCAUGAAUGUACAAGGAUGUGUAUGACAUGCAUAAGCACAGAAAUUCAACUAAUCCGAUGUUCUCAAUGCAGAAAUAGUAAAGAUGCCAUUGUUUACUAUUCUAGCCCAAGUUCACUUUAAUAGUUUUAAAGUUCACAUAGCACGUUCUGUCACUAAGUCCCAAUCAUAUAAGACCCACCCGAAGGCUGUCUGGCCUGCGCCGUGCCUAAUGGCCCCGUGGUAGUCAACAUCCCCACUCUAGGAAUGAGCCUCCCCCACGGCAAUCCACUUCGGCGCCCAAUCCCGCACGGCGAGCAUGUGUCGCGAUGGCUAUCUCCGGAGUGCCGGCUUGUAGGGAGCGACCCUCACAAGCAUGUGCGAAUGAGCACAAAUGGCAAGCAAACAAUGAUCUGUCUCAAGUACCAAGUCCUCAUGUCUAAAAAUAUGGAAUAUAUCAAGUAUCUCAAUGGCCUAUCUCUAUGUCAUCAUGUCUCUAACAUGGAAUAUAGCAGAUACGUAAUGGCCUAUCAAUAUGUCUCUAUGUUGCAGUUUAAAUGUUUACUAGUUCCCAAGUGCCUCUUGAUGACACUUUUUGCUACUAAGUUCAAAUAUAGUAUAAUGUUUCCCAUACAUGAACAUGAGCUAAAUUAGCAUACUAGACGAGAAUCUCAUUCGUCCACAUGAACCCACCCCACAUGCAUGACAAUAACCUUAAUUACUCUACCAUAUAGAGUGAAAUUUAACUUACACAUAGGGCAUGUAUUUUAGGUGUUCUAAAAUUCACAUAAAUUCCAAUUAGCAUAGGAAUGCAUUUAAAAAUAAUUUACGAAGAGUUUAAAAUGAAUAGGGGCCAUUUCGCCCCAUCUCCANAAAACUCUUGCAACUCUUCGUAAGCUCCGACGAAGAUGCCCACUAGCCUCCUAGCACCCUAAAGAUGUAGGAACAAGGGUUAAACGAACCUUACGAUUAACCCUAAACUCAAUCAAUAAGCAACAUAGGCUAAGAUGGAGAAAAACUCACCUAGGUGAAGAAAUUCUCUCUCUAGCUCCAAAUGGGAGUUAGAGUUCUUCAAAUCCAACCUAAAUAAAGGUUCCAAACCCAUCAAUUAGGUCUCAAAACCCCCAAAUCCAAAAACCCCCAAAAUAAACCCUAAAUCCCAAAAUCCAGGGUUUCAUCUAGUAAAACCUAGAAAAACUGUAUCAAAUGGGGAUUACAAGCUACCAACCUCAAAAGAAGCUCCAAUCCAAGCUCAAAACCAAGUAGGGUUGAAGUUUGAUCCUCCACAAAGCUCCAACCGCAAGUUCCAAGCCACCAAAGUGAGAAAUGGGGAAGAAGAUGAUGCUCCAAAGCCUCCAAGCAAGCUCCUUCUCUUCUUCUUCUUCUUCUUCUUCUUCUUCUUCUUCUCCCUCUCUUCUUCUCUCUCUAGAAUAGGUGGGAAGGGAAGAAAUGAGGAGAGAAGAGGGUGAAAUGGCCAAAUAGGCCAUUAAAAGCAACAAAAUCCACUUAGGUCCCUCAAAAACUCAAAUUUACAUCAGCCCGGUCUGGGCAGUUUUCGCCCAGAGGGACCGGUCUCCCCGACCUGGGAUCGGUCUCUCAGCCUGCCCCCGAAAAUCCAACGUUCGGGAACCGGUCUCUCCCUGCGCGGGACCGGUCUCUCCCCGCGCAGACGUGCUCGGGGACCGGUCUCAACUGCCAGGGACCGGUUGCCUCGCCGGCUGCGCAGCACUGUUCACUGGGGGACCGGCCUCUCCUAUCAGGGACCAGUCCCUGAGAGUAAAAACUCUCAGGACUCAGCCAAAACUCUCGAGAUCGAACUUUUAGGCCGGUAUACCAUCGACGGCCCUCCACCAAGUGUGGAAAUGUUCGGAAUACAAAUCGAACACUCGAACCUCGCAAUUUGCAAAGGUCCAGUGUGCUACACCUUAUGACAUAAUAUGCUAGGGAGGGUAAACCCUUAUGAGCAUUAUGAGAAUUGUGGCAAGAGUGGCCAAGUAUGUGACAUACUAGACAAGGUAAAAUCCUUUUAUGCAUUGUGGCAAUAUAGCAAGUGUGGCUAUACGUCCUCAAAUUGAGGAUUGGAUCGAUAUUCACAUUGAGUCUUGGCUUGAGGAAGGUAGCUCCCCCUCGAGCGGUUCGCUCCGGAGUUGGUCACCACUGGACGAGGUAAAGUCCCCUCAGAAGACGGUCCCUCGGGCAUGGUAAAGUCCCCUCGAUCGAUAGGAAUUUUGGGUUGUGAGUUUUGGGGUUAACAAGUGUUAACCGGGUUGAUUGGGUAAAAGCCAAGGAAAGUGAAUGUGAAAAAGUAUGCAUGCAUUAUCAUUAUGAUUAUCUUACUUGUUGGAUUUAUUAUUGUUUAGGCAUUGUAAUAGCUUUGUAUUAGUUGGUUUGCAAUCUAUCUAUUAUUUUCUUACAUAUGCCUGAGUAGACCUAGUGGGCGAGUCGGCGGUGUUAGCGGCCGAACCAUUGGAAACUUUGUUGUAAUUCUCAUCCCACUAACCAUGCAGGUUCUAGCGCGAGCAGGGCGAUCGUGGCUCGUGGCAUGGUUAUCGUGCUCUAGGUAGCGGACUACCAUUGUGUAUAGAGCCACCCGUUGUAUUUCAUCUAUUAUGUUCGAUGAAUGAAAAUGUAAUAAAAUCAUGUAAGAGAUGGUAAUGUAUAUUGGAUGAAUGAUUGUAAAGCAAAUGUAUAAGCUUUGUAUUUGAUUGAAAGUGAUCAAGUUACAAUGUAUGAUGUAAUAGUUAGAUUGCUUUCACUUGUGGUUGUUGUUGCUUGCUCUCGAGCAAGCAAUGUAUACUCGCAUUCUUAUAUUUGAAUUGUUACUGUUACACAUGUGUUGGUAGAGCCUUGGGCGGACAGGAGAGGUGCUGUCCGUUCGGCGUCUGUUGACGUGCCCGAACCGACCAAAUUGGCGGUCGUAGGGCGUGACAGGGGGCCAAUUGCAAAAAAAGCCUUGAGUUUUAUUUUGGCCCACAGUGGCGUAAAUGCGAUGGUGAUAUAUAUAUAUAUAUAUAUAUAUAUAUAUAUAUAUAUAUAUAUAUAUAACCGUGCCCUCAAUACCAGCCGUGGAAUUUCGCAUCCACGACUAUUGUGGCGUGACGAGAGAAAGGAAUCUGCAACUACAGAAGCCGUUCGUUUCCGCAUAAAAUUGUAAAAACAUAGUUUUGUUCGUGACCUCGCCCUUCAUACCAGCUGUCGGAUUUUUCAUCCACGGUUGUUGUCGCUUGAUGAGAAAAAAAAAUCCGCAAUCCCAGGAGCUGUUUGUUUUCACACAAAAUUUUGAAAGGAUGAUUUUUGUAAUGACCAUGCCCUUUGAUACCAACCGCUGGAUUUCUCAUCCACGGCUGUUGUUGCGUGACGAGAGAAGGGAAUCCCCCAUCUCAGAAGUUGUUUGUUUCCAUGUAAAAUUUUGAAAAAAAUAAUUUUGGCGAUGACCAUCAUACUAGCCGUAGGAUUUCUCAUCCAUGGUUGAGAAAAAGAAUUCAUAACUUCAGGAGCUGUUUGUUUCCACAAAAAAAAAAAUGGAAAAGAAUUUUUGGCGCCACCAUGACCUUGAUACUAGAAGGAGUUGUUUGUUUUCGCAUAAAACUAUAAAAAAAAUAAUAACUCUUUAGCAUUUUUUUUUUUGAGAGAAAGGUAGCAUGCUACCCGCUUCGUUUAUUUCAUUUAGAAAUAACUUAGCUGGAAAUGUGAAUCAACUAGGAUUUGAACUUGGGUCUCGGGUAUCAACCACCAAGUCCUUUUGCCACUUGCGCCAGGGACGGUCGGUAACUUUCUUUAGCAUUAGUGCCUGUUCGUAUUGGUUGGAAAAGUAUAUACAAAUUUUACAUAUAAAAUUACAUGGCCAAUUUGCAUAAAAAAUUCAUAAAUUUUGAGCUUUUGCAAAACUGGGCUGCCUUUUUUUAUUUUGCAGAUUCGGUCCGAAUUUUCAGCAAACUGACCAAAAUACCCUUAUUACUUUUUCUCUCUCCUCUUUCUCUCUCAUCUUCUUUUCUCUCGUUUAUUUUUUUUUCUCUCGCCGAAGAAAGCAGCGGAGGUAGAGGCAGAGGCGGAAACGGCCCACCUAGCCUCUCACCCUUAUGCUCUCGCCCUCGUCUUUUACCUCGCCCGCGCACCCCCCACCUUCCUCGCCUACUACCCGUCGAGCCCGCGCCGCUACUCUUUUUUUUUUUUUUUUUUUUUUUUUUNNNNNNNNUUUUUUUUUCUCUCUGACUCUCCUCCACCGUCUCCGACGACGACGCCUCUCUCGCCCUUCCCCGCCCUUCUCGUCCUCUCCUUCUCCCUCCUCCUCUGUUGUCUCCGACGACGACGCAUCUUCGUCGACGCCGACACCGUGAAAGUCGCUGCGGCGCUGCACCCUCGGAGCGGCGGGUCCUUAACGGCAUCGUCGCCGGCGCUGGCGUCGUGGCCGUUGGCAGAGAGGGAUGACAAAAAAAAAUUAUAGAAGAAGCAAAAAAAAAAAGAUAAAAAAUUAUAGAAAAAGAAAGAUGAAAAUAAAAUUGCAUCGUAAAAAUAAAAUUACACUAUUUUAAAAGAACGUUGCACUAUUAUGAACAUAAGUUGCAUUAUUUAAGAUGUAAACUGCAGUUUUAAGAUAAAAAUUACACUCUUUAAAUGAAAAUUACAUUCUUUGGGAGAUAUUUAUAUUGUUUCUCCUCUUAUUGUACUCUUUCAGAUGUAAAUUGAUUCCAUUAAGAUAAAAGUUAUAUUUUUUAAACGAAAGUUGCACUCUUUGAGAGAUAUUUGCAUUAUUUUUUCUCUUCUUGCACCAUUUGAGAUGUAAACUGCAUCUCUUUAAGAGAUAUUUAUACUGUAUCUCUUCUUGUUGCACUGUUUUUUUUCUUGUUGCACUAUGUCUCAUCUUAUUGCACUGUUUCUCCUCUUAAAGGUGCAGUUUAAGAGGAAAAACAGUGUAACAAGAGGAGAAAUAGUGCAGCAAGAGGAGGAACAGUGCAACAAGAGGAGAAACAGUAUAAAUAUCUCUUAAAGGGAUGCGGUUUAAAUCUCAAUGGGUGCAAGAAGAGAAAAAAUAGUAUAAAUAUCUUUCAAAGAGUGCAACUUUAGUUUAAAGAGUGUAACUUUUAUCUUAAUAGAUGCAGUAUACAUCUAAAAGAGUGCAAUAAGAGGAGAAACAGUGUAAAUAUCUCCAAAAAGUGUAAUUUUCAUUUAAAGAGUGUAAUUUUCAUCUUAAAGCUGCAGUUUACAUCUUAAGUAGUGCAACUUAUAUCCAUAAUAGUGCAACGUUCUUUUAAAAUAGUACAAUUUAUUUUAACGAUGUAAUUUUAUUUUCAUCUUUCUUUUUCUAUAAUUUUUUAUAUUUUUUUUUUCUUGCUUCUUCUAUAAUUUUUUUUUUAUCACCCCCCUCUGCCAACGGACACGGCGCCGGUGACGACGCUGCUAAGAACCCUCCGCUCCGAGGCUGCAGUGCCGCAGCGACCUUUACGGUAUCGGCGUCGGCGAAGAUGCGUCGUCAUCAGAGGCGGCAGAGGAGGAGGGAAAGGGAGAGGACGAGAAGGUCGGGAAAGGGCGAGAGAGGCGUCGUUGUCGAAGACGGUGGAGGAGAGUCGGAGAGGAAAACAAAAAAAUGAGUCGCGGUGCGGUCUCGGCAGGGUCGGAGGCGAGGAAGGUGGGGGUGCGCGGGGGCGGGUGCGGGCGCGGGCGAGGGCGAGAGCAUGAGGGUGAGAGGCGAGGUGGGCCAUUUCCGUUUCCACCUCUGCCUCCGCUGCCUCUUCGGCGAGAGAAAAAAAAUUGAACGAGAGAAAAAAAAAAAAGGAGAGAGAAAGAGGAAAGAGAAAAAGAUAUAAAGGUAUUUUGGUUAGUUUGCUGAAAAUCUGGUCCGAAUCUACAAAAUCGAAAAAAGUGGUCCACGUUUGCAAAAGCGCAAAACUAGUGGAUUUUUUAUGCAAAAUGACCAAAUUACAUUACAUAAUUUUAUUUUCUAUAUUAAAUUAUAUAAAUAUAAAAAAUUUAUUUAUAUAUCCCUAACAGGUGGAGGAAGAAAAUAUUCUCGUGCACCCAAUCUACCGCAUCAUCAGCCAUGUAGGCACAAUAAAUUAUUCUUCAAUUUUUUUUAUUAGGUUAUGUUAGUACAUCAGAAGCAGAUAUUCCGAUAAAUCUUAUUCGGCACAAAAUUUUUCUUACAUGGUUAGAAUUUAGAAGUUUAAUUGCCGUUGGUAUUCAUGAUUGUAUAGAAUUAUAUAUUUUAUCUUCGAAAUGAUUUACUUUAUUUCACAAAAGCUUAAAACAAAAUAUUAUAUUCAUUCUUUGAAUUUGAUCCUCUUGUCAUCUAUCAAAUUUUAUAUACGGGAUUUUUUUGCAUCUAGCCCCUUAAAAAAAAUUAUUUUAAAAAUAGCCUCAAUAAAUUUAUAUUUGUACUUUUGGCCCUGACCCUACCACGCAGAUGCCACGUCAGCGUCACACCAGCGGGGCUGGGCCAGGGUGUUAAGUUGAAUACGGUGAACCAUUCACCGUGGCCAAACACGGUAAAUGGUAUACUGUGUCUAGAGAAAAUACAAAUAUAUGUAUUUUUUGCAAUAUAAAUAUUGAAAAGAGGAAUAAAUAGUAAGGAUGUCAAUAGGUAUGGAUAUCUGAAAUAUUAUCCGAACCCAAACCCUAAUAAAUUAUUUAUAUACAUAAUUUAUUUUUAUUUUUGACCAAUUUGCAUAAAAAAUCCACUAAUUUUGGGCUUUUGCAAAAGUGGGCCACCUUUUUCGUUUUUGCAGAUUCGGUCCUAUUUUUCAGUAAACUGACAAAAAUACCUUUAUAUCUUUUUCUCUCUCCUAUUUUUUUCUCUCUCGUUCUUUUUUUCUUUCUCUUCCUAGAGAGCGGCGGAGGCGGAAGUGGAGGCGGAGGCGGUUCGCUUCGGUUUUCUCCGGCGCAUCCUUACCCUCACCUGCACCACCCCCCCUGCCUUCCUCGCCUCCGACCUCACCGAGACCGUGAUGUGACUAUUUUUUUUUCCCUCUCCGACCCUCCUCCACCGCCUCCGACGACUAUGCCUAUCUCACCCUCUCUCGCCCUUCUUGCCCUUUCCCUCUCCCUCCUCCUUCACCUCCUCCGCCGCCUCCAACGACGAUGCCUCUCCGCUGACAUCGGCGCCGCGGAGGUCGUUGUGGCGCUGCAGCCUAGGAGCGGGGGGUUUUUAGCCGCGUAGUCGCCGGCGCCAUGGCUGUUGGCGGAGAGGCGUGACAAAAAAAAAUUAUAAAAGAAGGAGGAAGAAAAAAAUAAAGACAAAAUAUUAUAUAAGAAGGAAGAAGAAGAUGAAAUUGUAUUGUUAAAAUAAGAUGACACUAUUUUGAAACAAAUUUGUACUAUUUUAAUAAAAAUUAUACUAUUUGAUAUAGAAAUUACACUCUUUUGGAAUAGAUUUUACACUCUUUAGGCUAACGUUGCACUAUUUAGGAGAAUUUUGCACCAUUUCUUUUUUUUUUCUUUUUCUUUUUCUCUUCUCCUUCUUCUUCUUCCGCUGCUGCCUCCCGCCCGGCCCGAGGUCCCUUCCCGUUGUCAGGGCCCUGGAGCGGGGAGGCGCCCUCGUCGCCGGCGACUUUCGGGGCAGUUGGCGGCCCCGGAGCCUGCCGGCGGGUACUUCGUCGCCGUCGCUGCUGCCGUCGCCGUGGACGGCGAGGCCGCCCUAGUUGAUGGCGACCUUCUCGACGAGGCCUACAGAAGGGCGACGGCGCGAUCGGCCCCGCGCGGGGAGGCGCUCCUGAUCUCGGCCCGGGCGAGCGAGAGGCAGCAGCAGAAGAAGAAGAAAAAGAGAAAGAGAAAAAGAAAAUGAAAAGAAAUGGUGCAAAAUUCUCCUAAAUAGUGCAACAUUAGCCUUAAGAGUGUAAAAUCCAUUACAAAAGAGUGUAAUUUCUAUAUCAAAUAGUGUAAUUUUUAUUAAAAUAGUUCAAAAAAAUCCUAGCAAUAAUCUUUUAAAAAAAUUGCAUGAGUUUCAAAAGGAAAGAUAGGUGUCGAAUUUAUUUUAAAACAGUGUAAUCUUAUUUUAACAGUGCAAUAUCAUCAUCUUCUUCAUUCUUAUAUAAUUUUUUGUCUUUCUUUUUUUCUUCUUCCUUCUUUUAUAAUUUUUUUUUGUCACGCCUCUCCGCCAAUGGCCACGGCGCCGGCGACGCUGCCACUAAAGACCCCCCGCUCUGAGACUGCGGUGCCGCAGCGACCUCCGCGGCGCCGAUGUCAACGGAGAGGCGUCGUUGUUGGAGGCGGUGGAGGAAGCGAAGGAGGACGGAGAGGGAAAAGGCGAGAAAGGCGAGAGAGGGUGAGAUAGGCAUCGUCGUCGGAGGCGGUGGAGAAGGGUCGGAUAGGGGAAAAAAAAAAGUCACAGCGCAACCUCGGUGGGGUCGGAGGUGAAGAAGGCGGGGGGUGCGCGGGCGAGGGUAAGGAUGCAUCGAACAAAACCGAAGCAUGCUACCUCCGCCUCCGCCUCUACCUCGGCCGCUCUCUUGGAAGAGAAAGAAAAAAUGAACGAGAGAAAAAAAAAAAGAGGAGAGAGAAAAAGGUACAAGAGUAUUUUGGUCAGUUUGCUGAAAAAUCGGACCGAAUCUACAAAAACGAAAAAGAUGGCCCACUUUCACAAAACCCCAAAAUUAGUGGAUUUUUUAAGCAAAUUGGCCUUUAAUUUUUUAUACAAUAUAUAAAAUAUUUAAUAAUUUUUAUUCCUUAGAUCUUCAUCCAACGGUAUAGAUUUUUAAAACCCGCCAGGUUCGGGUUUCGAGUUUUUGGUCGGGUAUAGAUAUGGGUAUGGAUUUUUAAAACCCAUCGGGUUCGGAUCCGGGUUUGGGUUUUAAUUUGAUUUUCGGGUUCGGGUUCAGGUUUUUGAAAAUCUGGCCCGUUGACAUCCCUAAUAGGGAGAAUAUAAGUACGGAAUACGGUGAAUCAUUCACCGUGCUUGAACACGGUGAAUGGUUUACCGUGUCUAGAAAAAAUAUAUGUAUUGCGAAAAAUAUAAAUGUUGAAAAAGAGAAGAAAAAAAAAAAAAUGAAACACCGUGUUUGAACACGGUGAAUGAUUCACCGUGUUCAACUUGCCAAGCAGGCCCCAGCUCGCUCAUGUGGUGCUUGCGUGGCGCCUGCGUGGCAGGAUAGGGCCAUUUUUUUAAAUAUAAAUUUGUUGGGACUAAUUUUAAAAUAAAUUUUUUUCAGGAGACCAUUUGCAAAAAAAAACUCAUAUUUUUAUUAUCUUAUAUAAUAUUCAUAACUAAUAAAUUUAUUAAUUUAUUAAAUUAUUUUUAAUUAAUACUUUGAUGUUAAUUAAUUAGAUAAAUUAUUUUUAAUUUAAAAUUAUAACACUUAUUCAUCUUAUUCCAAUCUAACUAUUCAAAUAUUAUUUAUCUUAGUAGGAAUAAAUUUAAUUUUCUUUUAAAUACAAAAAAAAUCUAAUUGUUGCUUAUAUCUAAAUUUAUAUUUAUUUUUUAAAUAAAUAAAUUUUUAUUUAUAUUCGAAUCAAAUGCAGCGUAAGAGAAAACCGCACCACAGGUGGGUGACCACUCUCUUUUGGAAUCCGCCCCGUUUGCAUUCUGAUUAAACCUACAUCAACAUUCGGGCCCUCCGCUGCUCCAGCUUCGGCAAAAGCUAACCGGUUCCCGAGCACACUCCAUCCUCCUUAUCCGCUCGUUCCCACCCUACUGCUCACUCCGCCCCCCGCGCCCGCUUCGUCGCCCGCCGCUCCGAGUCCAUCUCCGUCCGCCAGCUCCAGCGCCCUCUCAGUAUAUCAUCAUCACCAUCAUCAUCAUCAUUCUCUUCCGUCCGUUAAUCCCCACCACCCCUUCCCCCCUUCCAAACCUCUCUUCUCAAUUUCUAAUGCUGUGAUGCUGCUGUCUUGUUGUUCUGCAGUCGAGUACAUGCGGCUGCCGGCCAGCCAGUACUCCGUGCUGGACGCCGAGCGCAUCGAGCGCGUCGACGACCGCACCUUCCGCUGCUACGUCUACCGCAUCAAGUUCUUCGCCUUCGAGGUCUGCCCCGUCCUCCUCGUCCGCGUCGACGAGCACCCCUUCGGCUGCUGCAUCACCCUCCUCUCUUGCAAGGUACCUUUUACCAACCACUCCUGCUCCUCCCCCCCUUGCCUUUUUCCUUUUUCUUGAAUAAUAAUUUCGAUUGAGAAAUUCUUGCCGAAAUGCUAGUUGGAGGGCUCCCCGCUCGUCGAAGCUCAGAAUGAUAAAUUUUCAGGUAAUCUUCGCUUUCUGUACUGCGGCUCUCUUAAUUUCGCUUCAAGAAGAUUCAUAUCGAAACGGAUAUCUAUCUCGUAGAAUUGCCAAAGAUCUGGUUUGUUUGUUUGAUGGGGGAAAGUAGCGGAAGCGGCAGUAACGAACUUUCAACUUUCUGCGGAUUUGUUGUAUCAAAUGGCUUCGAAAGCAAUGUCGACAGAACUAUGUUCGACUGAACGUCAGCCCUCGGUUUGGAUACUGUUGGUUGUUUCUUAGCAGACAAGGAGGAGAUCAUUGUUGAUCCGAGGAGAUCAAUGCCGCUAAUACCUUUUAAUAGGAGCCCAUAUAAAGCUUUUUAUUUGUGGACAGCGUCAAAUUAGCUUGAUUGCUUUUGUGCGCCCUUGAACUGGAAAAGAAUAGGUUGGGUCUUAUGUAGGUCGAGUAUUGUACGAUCCCAAUAGUGCUCCUGUGUGGAGAAGGAUCCAACUUUUAGAGAGCGGAGUGGCCGGUUAAACUGGGUUGAUUAGGAAGUGGUUUGACUGCUGUUUCGGUCGGACUUUAAGAAUCGUUUCAUGAAAAAUUUGUAAAUUGGGUCGUGAGCUGGCUAAAACGGCUGGUUGGUUAGCCCUGUUAGAAUGAAAAGCAAAUAAGAAACACUGCAAUCUGUGCAUUGUUGUUCAAACUUUGAACCUUCCAGAUAAAAGGUGAGACAACUAGCUCUGUUAGCACGACAAAUUUACACGUGUCAAAUUAACUAUAUAUUAUAAUAUAGUUCAACCCCAUUUCAACCCUGGUUGAACCUCUAAUCCUUAGACUCUUUGGUGGUUCGAUGGCUGGGUUAGUUCAAGGAUCUUGAAGUGGGUGGACUUUCUUUUGCCCUUCCCACCACCCUUAACUCAUUUGCGUACUUCAUUUGGGAUUUUAUUUGAUUCUUCAUUUAAGAGUUCUAAGCAUGAAUAUCGAUAAUGUGAGUUUAAGUCUCCUGAAGUUUGAGAACUUGAAUUUGACGAAGAUAGGUUAUAGGAAGAUAGGAGUGUACGGAAUUUGUGGUGGCUAGUUAUUACAAGAAUGUUGGUUGGGUUGUUGGAAUGUUGAGAGAGGAUAGUUAGGUAGGUUUUGGCUGUAGGGGAGGAUUAGUUUGAGCUUGAACAGGAGUGGGUUUGUUGGGAUUGAUAGUAAAUAAUUAAAGAUCAUAUAAGGUGGGAUAGUUUGCUAGUGGUGGACUUGAAGUUAGGGUUUUAGAAGAGGAAUAAGUUGGGUUCUUAUAAUAGUAGCUAUAAGUUUGCUGACUAUAAAUAAAUGGUUGGUGAAAGCUUCAGUUGGAUUUUGAAUAUGAAAAUUGAAAUUGUGGGAGAAUAGAGUGGGCAAUUGAAUCUUUUGAAAAAUUGGUGGGGAGAGCGAAUCUCAUCAAAUGAAACUGUUGGCUUGAAGGAUAGAAACAAUGUUAGCAUUCACCUUUGUGAUUACAUAAGUAACCAAGAAAAAAAAUGCACCGUAAGUUUAGUGGGCUUAGCUUGUGGGUUGCAGUAGAUAAAUUCGGGAAGCCUAGUGAACCAAAAACUGGUUAGUUAUUCAAUAAUUGAGGCAAAUUUCGGUGCACAAAUCGAACAGGAUUUUAAAAAUAUAUAUCAGUUUAUGACAAAAUAUUAACUAAAUGAGGAGUAUAUAACAGUUCAGUCCAAAUAUUAUAUGGCAUGUGAGCAUGGAGUAGGAGAGUUCAAAUCAUGUUUGUCGAAUGCUAACGUUUCCUCUAUGUUGUGCAAUUAUUUUGCGGUGUGUUGCAACAAGACUAAAUGAUGGACCUCUUCAUGUGAAAAUACAGAUUGAAAUCUUCUAUUCACAAAUUCACCUUCAUGGUCACUUUGGAAAUCAUGAAUAUUUAGUAUCAAAAAUACUAUAUUGUAGAAAAUUAAAAAUUUUUAAUUUUUCAUGCACUUUAUAUUUCUUAUAGCAAGAUCCAAGAAAAUUUUCAAACAUAAUUAAUGAAAAUGACAAAUUAUUUGAAUCCAGAAUGAGAUAAGAUUAAAAACAUAACACGAAUAAAAGGUUGAUAGAUUUGUGGUACAUAGGCAUAUAGAUAAAGCAGUUACAAAUAAAUUUUGCUCUAAGGUAAGGAUUAAAGUGAAACUGUGACUAAAGUUUGAAACCUUAAAUGGUCAACUUAAAAGCUAACCAACCAAAAUAAAAGUUGAUUAAAAAAAAAGACUAAAAGUUCAAGGGCUAGUGGUGAAAUUUAUCCAAUUCUUUAACCUGUAGUAUCUCCAUUUGAGAACACUCCAGGGCAUUCUUUGGGGUACAUCAACCAAAAUUGGAUUCAUAUCAUUUCUUGCGUCAAAGCUGCUGUUCCUGCAAUCUCGCACAGUAUCCAAACUAACCCAAAACUAUAAUCCUUGUUUCUUCUCUUUCACCACUCGACACUUGUCCGCUAUAUUCCUCUCUCUCUUCCUCUCUUCUCUCUGUUGAUUGUAAUCCUCGUUUGUUCUCUCUAGCUUUAUCUCUCCCGACAUAUCCUAUUAUCCUUUCUCUCUCCUCCACGAGCUAGUUAUCUGUAAAGUGGAUGUUGAUCUCUAACUAUUAAUUUCUAAUUAUAGUAAAAAUGUUGAAGGAAAGGAGGAGGAGGUGGUGCUCCAACCUUGCCACCAUUGAUUCUUCAACUUCUCCCCCUUUAUUGUAAAGAGAGAGAGUGCUUUUUUUUUUCUUUUUAUUUUUGUAUGUUUGCAUGCAUGUGCUGUGGGCAGAGAGGAGGGUUGAUGCUUAAUGUUAUAAAUAUAAAAUCAAAUGUGAUAGAUGUGAUCUACACCAUCUAAAGAUAGUGUAAUUGGUCAAAAUUAUCAGCCCAAGCCCUGGUAGAACAUGUAGAACCAUGCUGAAAAUAGCGAGGAAACCUUUUUUAAGGUUUGCAAGUGAAGCUUUGAGCCUUUCACUGCAUUAGACUUGUUGAUACUUGAUCAAGAAAAAGUGAUUUGAGCACUCUUGCUUGGAAUCAGACUUCCAUCUUUUCCCAACCCCUAUCUCCAAUGCUUCACGAGAAAUAGAAGCAGUAGAUUGACUCAUUAUAGUUUGAAGGGGAUCAAACAAGAGAGUAUGAUUGAUCUGUAAGAAUACUAUGAUUUAGAAAAGUGAAUCGGACUGACCGGUCAAACUGGGUUAAUGGGGAAUCGAUUUGACAGCUGGUUUAGUUCAAUUUUAAGAACCUAUUUUAGCAUAUAACCAAAUCAAACAGGUCCAAACCACUUGAAUUGGCCGGUUAACUACAAACCUGUUGGUUCAAGCAACCUGGUUUGGUAUAUGGUUAAGAAUAAAAAUUUUAUUUGUUUCAAGGAAGGUUCGAACCUGCAUCCAAACCAAAGGCAAUUAAUAGAUUAACUACUGGACUAAGAAACUACCGGACUAAGAUAUGCUUUCUUAUAACAAGUGGAAAUUCUAUAUAACAUAUUAAUCGAGUUAAUUUUGUUAGAAAAUAUAUUUGUAAUCAUAUUAUAUAUUUAUUUGUUUAUUUACAUGUAUUAUUUAUUUAUUUUUAUAUUUAUAUAUUUUUAUAUUUUGACCCUACUUCAACGUCGGUUAUCAGUUUGAUGGCCGGUUCGGUUCUCAAAACAUUGAUAAAUACAAUCAAAUUAAUGGCAAGCCUUUGGUUACUAAUUCGCAAAACACCUUCAUAUUUUGAAUUGGAACAUGCGAUUUGAUUCAUAGAUGUUAUGACAAAAGCAGAAAAGAUCUAGUUAGUAGGGCACGAAAAUAUUAAAAGAGAAUCGAGAAAGAGAAGGAAAAUAAAGCAUACAAAUAUUUACGUAGUUCGGCCGCUAGGCUCUCUGUCCGUAGGCUACGAUGGUGCGAAGAAUUUCAUUAUAAUCAAAGCGGAGUACAUAAAACGUCUCUCUCACAAACUUUAGCCCCAAAAUGCACCCCAUAUUCUUGCCCAUACGCCGGGCCAAAUCGGGAGAAUAAAGUGUAUAUUUAUAUUAGAAAAAAAAAAAAACCCAAUAAGACUAUAAAUAAUUUCAAUAAGAUUAAGCAUAAUUUAAACUUAAUGGGGUAACCAAAACAAAAUAGGGGCAAAUCUUGCGGUUCAAAAAUUCGAGACAUAUCUAACAAUCUUUACCUUGCUUGAAUUCUCCGUUUUCUCCACCAAAAGUCCCAAAGGCUCCUUAAAUGCUGCUGCACAUUUAAACCAAGCCUGUGGAAUAUUAACUUUGGUCAUCAAAAUAGGCUUAAUAAGCAAACUGGCAGUUCUAAAGUGUCAAUCUUUUCAUUUUCCAGUAAUGCUUCUUGCAAUAUCUGUUGCAUUAGAAUGAUAUCUUGUCGAAGAGCGAAACUACUGAAUCGAUCAAGCAUCUCGGUCUCAAAUUUUGUCAACAUCUUGAAUACCCAAACGAAACGGUUGGCUUCGAUACCGGUUUGUUAUUACAAAACCAAAAAAGAUAUAGUUCAUCGGGCACAAAAAUACCAAAAGAGAAUCGAAAAAAGAGAAGAAAAAUAAAAUACACAAAUAUUUACGUGGUUAGACCACUCCCCUACGCCCAAGCGAAGAUGCAGCAGAGACUUUCAUUAUAAUCGAAGUGGAGUACAAAGAUGCCUUCCUCACAAAACCCUAGCCUCAAAAUACACUCCAUAUUCUUGCACAUCCGCCAUACCAAAUCAAUGGAAUAAAGGGUUUAUUUAUAUUAGAAACUAAAGCCCAGUAAGACUAGGAAUAAUUUCAAUAAGACUAGGCAUGAUCUAAACUUUAAUGGGAUAACCAAAACAGAAUAAGAUUAGGAAACCUUGUGGUUCCAGAAUUUGAGACAUAUCUAACUAAAGAUCAUGAGUGAAUUGGAACGGCAAAAUGAGCAAUCCCAUGCUAACCUGUUUACUCUAUUCCGGAACCAUAUCGAGAGCAAUAUAUACACUUAUAUUUAUGUAUAUUCAUGUAUAUGUAUGCAUAUGUUUUGUGUGUAUCAAAUGCAUGUUUUCUAUUCCUAUAAAUGCAUGUCAAUGUAGACUACACCCAUUGUACCAUGUUUUAGAGUAAUGAAGAAGACAUCGUCAUAGCACUCAGGAAAGAAGGUUUUAUAGCCUGUGCUGUGAUACCAUAAUGAUCGUGAGAAGCUUAUCUAGUUUGGGUGGUGUAAUAUUAAUAGUUGAAUAAAUUAUUCAAAGUAGAUACAAGACUAAUUAUUAAUGAGUUCUAGGUGUACAAAGGCAAUCAAUACACUAGCACAUUUAGCACCAAUAUUUGGGACAUGGAAUGAAGCUCUAUAUUCGGAUGGAAGAAAUCAUGAAUGAGAGAAAGUAUAUUAACAAAACGCCUAUAAGUGAAGAAGCCAAUAGGGAACUAAAGCCCUUGUAAUGUGCACUGUGGUUGGCGCUCCGAACUGCAAAUGUGGUUGGCUAAUCUCAUAUGCAGUGAUUUAAAACCCCAAACCAUUUACUAUCCUGAAAUAUUGCUGGGUCACAAGUCACGGGUCAAUGGUCAUUGGUUCAACUAGUGGUUCAGCUACUGGAUUGAAUGAUGUCAGCAUGACAUUAUAAAUAUUUAAUUAUUAUUUUUUCAUACUAGAUAUAUAAAAAAUAUACUAAGUAUAGUAUUCUGUAUUAUUUUAAAAUAUUAUUGUAUUAUAUAUAAUUAAAAAUGUAUCCAAAGUGUAGAUUAUUAAAAAAACUAAUGCAUGUUUUUAAUUAAUUAUUGAAAUAAAAAUAAAAAGAAACCCAGCUAGUUUUUGUAAAAUUGGGCCAGUUCACUGGUUGAGCCACUGGUCUGAACAGGUCUAAAUGGAUUUUAAACUAGUUCAUUUUAUGGGUUGAACCAAACUAGUUGGGCACUAGGUCAUGGUCCAGCCGGUCCGACUGGCCAGGUCAACCCGGGUUUUAAAACAUUGGUCAUAUGUUGAUGUUGGGAAUACUGCAUUUUUAUUCAUUGACUUGUGAAGUCUCGUGAUAUGGAACUACCUAAGAAAUUGGAUUUGCUGCUGAUCUAUAUCUGAGAGAUAAAGCAGUCUCUCUCUAGGGAAAUUCUGCAUUUGCAUAUUUAGCAAAAAUCUAAGAUAGUUGCAUAGGUUUUUGAGUUAUUUGUUAGGGCUAAGCUUUUUGCUUGGUUCUACUUGAGAACACCUUGAUUUUGCAGAACAUCAUAAUCCCAUGCUUCUGUAGUUAAAUUUUACAUCUCCUUAGUAGCCUUCCUUACUUCUACCUCUGAAUGAAACUAUUUAUGCCUUCUUUUCAGGACACCUUUGACAUUGAUUUGCUGUGGGAAAUGCAGCUUCCAUGGUGAAUAAAGUUUCCUGCAACGAGGAUAUGCUAGAUUCGGCAUUCCAGCCACUCACAUCAGAGACUCUGAUCGAGGCAAUUCUCAUACUUACAUCUAUGGCUAGAAUUUUGUUUAAAUUUUUAUUUUGUUAUUUGAGUUUCUUUUUUUAUUAUGAUGAUGUGCAGGUUACAAUUGAAAUUCCAUUUGCAUUUCGAGCAAUACCAGUGGAAGUGAUUGAAUCAACUGGUAGGCAGGUCCUUGAGCAGCUAUUGAGAAUAAUGCUUCCGCGAUUUCUUAAGCAGGUAAUAUCAAGUUUCUUUACUACAGGCUCAAGUAUAUACUUUGCUUUUAAAUGAAAGCAGAACAUUGUGCAACACAGGCUAUAAAUGGAGCCAUUGAUUCCAUAUAUCAAACUCUUUAUCACAAGAAAGGGAGAAAAUUAAAUAAUGUUAAAUUUGUGGUUUACUCGGAAACUAUUCUUGGAGUAUCUGUGGUUGUUUAAAUUUUGUGAGUAGUAUGAAGUACCUUUCUUGUUAUCAGCAGGACCAGAUAUACUCAAAUAAGAAAAUAAAUGUUAUCAUGUAAAGUGCUGAGGUUACCGAGAUGAGGCCACCUAGAUAAAUUACUUUUUGGGGUAUCAAUAACUAACGGCAUAACACCCUGUAAUAACUUCCAAACUGCACCUUGGUCAGCAGAAUCUUUUUUUUUUCUUUAAAUUUUCUUUAAAUUUUUUUUCUUUCAUGUUCAUGUUUGUUGACCCUGUCUUCCUUUUUAUAUAUAGUGUAUUUUGUUUUCAUCCACGACCCACUGCAGUCGGGUUUUUGUUGUGACUGCUUUCUUGGCUUUUGUUGCAUGUUAACCACACGAAAAUAGUAAUUUCACUGUGGAAACCAACAAACAGGGUUGUUUCUGUUAAGUUGGUUACUAGGCAAGGGCGGUCACUUAUCUCUCUAGCUAUGAUGUUCAAAUUUUGGAAUUGGGCACCAUAGCAUACUUGUUUAAAUUAAACAGAAAACUACUCAAAAUCUCAUCGAAUGCACGAUGUGCGUCAAUGUUUUCUAAUUCAACUCCUGUGCUAGAGACCUGUAUAUAUGUUCCUUCCAAGAAAAAAGUUCACGGUUUAUUUUUUCUAGGAGUGAUUGUAGGCAGGAUUCCCUUGACUAUGUGCAUCCUGCAUUGUAAAUUUUAUGGUGAUGUACAUCAUUGAACUCUCUUCGAAAUCCUGAGCUAUGUUUUGCUCUUAUGUAACCAAAAUCUUUUCUGUUCUUAUUAGAGCCACAAAGUAUCGUUGUGGUAGCCAAACCACUUAGACAUAUUCUGUAGAUAAGACAUUUGAAUUUGACUCUGCAUGUGGGAAUAUUCGGAGCAUUUUUGUCGGUGCUCUUUAAAUUACGUUCUUUGUUUCAGCUAGUAAAGGACUACCAAGCAUGGGCUUCGGGUGAUACCUCGAGGCAGCCACUCGGCACCGGUGAAAUUUGAAGCAAAAGGCGCUCAGAGAACUCUGCUCUGUAAGCCUCCACCUCUGCUCCUGGUUUCUUUGACUUUGUUAAAUUAUUCAUGUUUAUGUUAAUUAUGUAGUGCUCAGGUAUUUGCUUCUUAAGUAGUGUACAACAAAAACUGAAAUUUGAUGAACAAUUUGUAUUCCUAUGUUCGUCUUCUUUUUCUUCAUUUUUCUUUUUUUCCUGUAUGAACAGUUUUUAGAAUCUCAGGAAUCAAAGCUAUGGUGAUUGUCAUCUACUUGUAAUUCGAAUUAGCCAUAUAAAAAUUGUCAUCCACUAGUAAUCAAACCUAUGAAAAUUGAAUUGGUUAUCACAUAACAAAAUUAUUUUGUGUGGUACAUUGUUCUCAUUUUGAAAAUUGUUAUUAUCAAUGCCAUUUAAAUCUUUUUUUAUCAUAUUUUGAACUUUAAGCCACAUAUAGAAUCUUUCCUGUAACUAAAUGUUGAAGAUUCUCUUUAUUCAUAUGGGCUAUGUUUCUCAUUAAUUCAGUAUUUGUUUGUCUCUUUUUCUUUGCACCUUACUAUAUGUAAAAUAACGCCUGUUUUGUGAUUAUGUCAUGUACACCGCUUGUGGUUUUUUUUUUUUUUUUUUGUAUAAUUUUCUGGGAAAAAUGUACAAACACGCCUAAACUUUAGCUCUUUUACAAAAAUAUGCAUUUGAACUUUCAAUUUUGAUAAUUACUUUCUCUGAGCUUUAUCAAAUAGUUUAAUAGGUUACUCUCCUCCAUCGAAAUUAUUAUUAGACUGCUGCUUUUAUACAUUAGAAUAGUUUAUGUUUUGAAUUUUAUAAGAUUAUGUGUAAGAUAUACAAUCAAAGCGGUUGUAUUAUUAAAAAUUUCAAUGAAAAUUGAACUAUAUAAUAAAAUUUAGUUGCUAAAAUUAAAGUUCAAAUAUUUAUUUACAAAAGAACUUAGCGGUUCUCUAUCACAUUUUGUCGGAUCGUUGACGCUAGCUAUUAAUCUCAAAAGCUCAAGCUGUUAGAAAUAUACAAUAAAUUCACUUAAAGUGUACAGAUACAGCGUCCAUGAGUCUCAAUUGUGAUUCGGUCGAACCGGCUUCAGGCCACUUUGAUGAUGACUCUGCCCAUUUAGCCUCACACCAUUUUGAACAUGAUUCGGUCUAACAUGACCUCCUGUCACAGGGCAGAAUGCUGGCUUAUUUAAGCCAACAUAUUUUCUAUUUCUUUUCUUUUUUUUUGGGAGGGGUUUUGUCGGCAUGAAUGGCACGUGGAUAAUUAGAAUAAGUAAUUAAUAUCUGUAUUCAGUGUAUCCGUACAUAUCGUGCACUACUUUUUCUUUCCCAUAAGAGAAAAAAAAUAUUGUAGGGCGAAAAAAAAAAGNAUCCAAACUAUAAACCCACGCGGCCACCAAUAUAAAACCGAACAGCAUAAGCAUCACGUCAACCGAUUUUCCCAUCAGAAAACCAUUAAAAAAAGCGAUCCAAGAACAGGAAAAAUAGAAGCGAUCUAUUACCAACAAAUCCCCCCGCCUCCAAAUCACUGUAUAGCGAUCAAAUCCCUCCACACAGAGGGAGAAACCGAAUCAGCGAAAUCGGUUCUGCUACCCCGAAACCGAUUACGCGUCGCGGGAACGGUUUAAAAAUGGGGGGUUUCGAAGGGAAAGAGCAGGGUUUCGAUGGAGCGGCCCCUUCGAUCCCCCAAAACACGAUCGCGAACUUUAGAACACCUAAAAGAAAAAAUUGCAACAAUUGAUUCCCGUGUGAUAUCAACCUAGGAUUUUUUUUUUUUUUUUUUUUUUUUUUUUUGGGGGGGGGGGGGGGGGGUUGGAAGAAAGUGGACAAAGUUGUCAUUCUACGGUUUGAGGGUUAACGUGAUCUGGACGUGAGAAGUGGGCAUUGUUAGCUAAAGUUCCUUUUUGAAGUUAAAAGAGAUCAUUUGGGGGACUGAAUCAUAAGAUUGUGAAAAUAUACUAGUCAACGAAAUUGUAGAUUGUUGACAAAUAGAAAGGAGGUGAUACUGAAACGUGCAGGUGGAGGCGCUUGGAAUCAUAGUUGUCCAAUCUGAUUGUUGAUCACCAAUUUUCCUCCGACACCUCUCAUUUCCGAAAGUUCCCUCUGACGGAAGGUGCACUAACAAAAUAGAAAUAAAAAAAGCUCUGUACUCAGAUCUCGGAAUGUCAAUGAGCCGAACACGAGCAAGUUGGAAUUAGUUCAUGUUCGUGUUCGUUUGUUUAUUAAAUGAGACUAAUUAAUAUGAGUUAGCUCGUUAAAAUAUUGAGUUGAAAAAUUCAGCGCGUAUUCGGCUCAUUAAUAAUACGAGAUGGCUCGCGAACAGCAAUGCGAUUCAGCUGCAUUUGUUCCAGUGCUUUAAUUUAAUGGUAGUGUGGGGUGUAGGCUAGAAGCUUCUGUAUUUGGAGGAAAAACUUUUAUUAAUAAACAGCUGGUGUUGUAUAGGGAGGGUCAAUACAGUGGUCCGGGGUUUGAUCCUCGGGUGUGCGUUUUUUCGGAAAUUUAGUUCCCAACCUUCCUUCGGGCUGGGAGAUUUUUUUUGCGUGUGUGUAGGGUAAGGGUGAAAACCGUCGGAAAUGGUUAGAUUUUAAUAAAAUUAUAUUCACGUCCAUAUUUUUCUUCAGAAAUGGAUAUAUGUUAUAUGCUAAAUUUUUAUUAUCAUAUUCGUUUGUUGGUUGCCGAUUGUCCCGACCCUUGACUCAAUCAAAGAUCUUUCUCGGAAAGUGCGUCGGGGUGAGGAACGGCUGCGGAUAGUGACCCUCGAAGUUUGCGCUUUCGACAGAUCAAGCGAUUCGGCUGACGAGGGAUCGAGCCAGCUGGGUCCGAAAAUUUUCACUGUAGAAUCGGUUUGGCUGGAGGAGCCUAAUAUAUGAACUGUGCAGGGAUCAAUGUUGGCAGAAGAGCCGAAUGGAAGAAGUACAGUAUAACUGGUCAGCUGAAAGAGCCGAAUAAAUAAAAUACACAAUGACUGGUCGGCUGAAAGAGCCGAAUGCCUAAAUAUAUAUAUAUAUAUAUAUAUUAAUAAAACAGAGUGUACCCGAAGGGCAUACAGACUCUGCAAAUAUGUAGUUUACAACAGAGUGAUGCUCGUGGGGCAGAUAGACUCUGCAAAUGUAGUCUACAACGGAGUGAUGUCCGUGGGGCAGACAGACUCCAUGGUUCUACUUAGCGAACUACUCCUAGGAAAGCAGUAAAUGCGGAAAAGAAAAAGAUUAUAUUUAGACUACUCAUAGAAAAGCGAUAAAAUUGCGAGGAAAUAAGGGUGAUCUUUUGUUCACGGGGAAAAGACUCUUAUUACAGGCUUUGAAGUUACUAUUUAUAGUGAUGUCUUCUCAGCCCACAUUAUUGGUCGGUUGAAAAUAGUGGGGGGAGUGGUUGUAACCAUGAUCGUGGAAGUUACGCCCACUCCUCAUGGAAGUUACGCUCCAUUGUGGAAGUUAUGCCCACUUCUCAACCGUUCCCGCCUAAAACCUUCAGGCGCCUUAUUGCCGACUCCUGGUGUACCACAUGUCCUUAUUGGCUCAUAUGUGGAUUAGGUCGCUAUGUUAAUUUCAAUUUUGGCAUCAACACCGUUAAAAGUAUAUAUAUAUAUAAAAUUGAGCUUCUAUGUUUUUAAAAGUACCAAGUUAUUGGUGUUUAUAAAUUUUUGACCAUUAGAUUAAGAAAUGUGCGAUUAGAAUGAUGUGGGACCCCUAGGGUUGAGUGAGUGGUUGGUUGAAUACUAUAAUCUAACGUUUUGCUAUCAAGUUAUGAGUACCAAGUUCUACUGUUUGCAAAUAUAUCCCUGCCGUUAGAAUCCGUUAGAAAAGUUUAGUUGACCAUAUGUUAAAUAUUUUAUCCGGAUUAAUUUUUGACAUUUUUACCCCUCUUAUAUUAUUAUACUAUUAUAACUUUUGGAGGGAUAUAUUUGUGAUAUUAAAAUUGAAAAUAUAAAUAAUUUUCUAACGGUUCUCUAACUGUAACUGACCAAAGGGACAUAUCUGAAAAUAUUAGGACUUUUGUAGGAAUAACUUAUGAAAGUUAAACUUUAUACAGAUAUAUUUGUAAUUCACUAUGUUUGCGGGAACCUGUAUGCAAUUAACCCUAUAUAUAUAUAUAUAUAUAUAUAUACGGAGCCCUCCGUGCUUCCAUAAGUAUCCUAGCAGCACUACUCUUCUCUCUCUCUCCUCUCUCUCUCCUCUCCUCUCUCUCUCUACUAUAUAUAUUAUAUAUAGAUAUAUAAAUAUAGCAGGAAAGGAGACGUAUCGUGUUCAAUAUUCAUAUAUUUAUAUUUUUAUUCAAUAGAAGAGAUAUUUAACAAUAGAGUUCAGUGCAAUUUUAACAUGAAACAUAUAUGAAUCAAGAAAAAUCAUACAGUAGAAAAUCACAUUAAAUCCUCUCUUACCAAUAUAAAUUAAAUUCCCUCUUUUAUUUCCUAAGACUGAAAAUAAUUGAAUACAGCGUUGAACAUUUUUUAAGAAAAUAUUUGCAUUCGAUAUAUAGUAGUACUAAUUAUUAAAUAGCUAUAUACUAAAGGUUUUCCGAUGCAAAAUCGAUAUGAAUAUACACUACGAUUGCGAAAUUUGACAUCCAUUAUUGAAUCAUAUCGAAUCAAUAUCGAAUUCGAUUGGAGUUUAUCCUCCACAGUACUAGCUUCCACCCCUGGUGUAAGGCUGGCAAAUUGAGCGAUCGGCUCGAUUCGACUCCGCUCACUCGAUAUUUGCUCGCUCCGAGCAUAUCGACUCGAAAUUAAAUCAGCCGAUCGCUUUAACAAAAAAAAAGGUCGAAAUUCAUUUCAUGACGGCGUGAGUCUCGAGUAUACCGGACUCAUCAUCGAAUUAGGUCUUGAAACUCGAAAACUCGAAAUAUAUAUACUAUAUAUAGUAUAUAUAAGUACAAUAUAUACGGUAAUAAUAAGUGAUAAAUAUAUAUAGGGAGGAUAUCAUACACUAAGUAAAAACAGAGAUGCUACGCCAGGAAAGUAUAGAGAACUGGUGCUUUCAAUUUUGAUUCUCUAACAACAUCCCCUUAAUUAUUUUUUUUGAAUUAAUACUAUCUAUUAUCUUGUAAGAGGACCGCACUCAAUCCCUAGGGAUAUUAUUUAUCAGAGGGACCGCCAUCAUAACCCAGACCAUAAAUAAUUCUUAAUCAAAUGCAAAAUAUUCGAUGAAACAUCAUCCUCUAUUAUUUUCGAUAGCAUGAUAGUUCUACAACUAUAUAUAUAUAUAUUAUAUAAAGUAUAUAUAUAUAUAUAAUAGUAUAUAUAAUAUAUAUACUAAUAAUAUAUAUAAAUGUUAAUCUAAGUAUUAUAUCGAGGCUGAUUAAUAAAUCUAAGUUGUAGAAAUAAAAUGCCAUAUUAUUGCUCCAUAGGAAAAACAAACCGCACAUAACAAAGCUAACGAACAGCAAAGACUUUCACGUAUAAUUAGACAUUUUUUCCUUUCUUUCCUUUCUUUCACAGAACUCUAAAAUUUCAAUAUAUUUUCUCUCUAUUCUCUUUUUCCGCUCUCACCCUAAGCGGCCACAGCCGGAACUCUCAACAAGUUACGCAAGUAAAGUAUAUCUCCGUUGCCUACCUUGCUAUUAAUUGUAUGCUUGAGAAAAUAUACAGAAUAUUUUUAAAGUAAAAAAUUAUUAUUCAUAUAAAAUUUUAAUUUUUGUUAUAUAUGAUUGGAUAGUUUAAUCCAAUAUUUAUCUAUAUAAUUUAUUUAUUUUUGACUGUAUAAAUGAAAAUGAAUAAUAUGAAGAUUGAAGGCAGAAGAAAAGACAUGUGAGGCUGAAAAGAUUAGAUAUUCAACUCAUAAAUUAUUUUUUUCAUAUUAUAAUACUGUAUUUUAUAUAAUUAUUUUGUACUUUGAACUAUUAGAUAUAUUUUUGUAUCAAAUUAUAAAUAAUGUUCUAUACAAAUUAAACUAUUGAUCGUAUGAUGUUGAGAAUUUCAAGCGGCUCGUUUAGGGCUCGAGCUCGCUCGACUCGAAAUUAGGCUCGCUCGAGCUCGGCUCGAAUUAAUUUCAGUCUAAGCUUGAGCUUAAAUUUAAGCUCGAAAUUAAUUUCAAGCCGAAUUUGAGCCGAGGUAAGCUCGCUCGAGCUCGGCUUGUUUCCACCCCUACAAGUGUGGGGUGUGGUAGGUGGCGGUUCGGAAGAUGUAACUCUUUCACUUUAUAGAUUGAAUUUCAAAAAAAAUCAGUAAAUUAUCCACUUUGUUCUUAUUUUAGAAAUAAAUAUAAUUAAAAAUACGAAUCAACUGGAGAACAAAUUUUUUCCUUGAACUUUAGCCACUUUCUCAAUUACUCUCUAGAAUUAAAAAUUACAUCAAUUACUAUCCUAUAUUUUGCUACCAUAUCAAAUAAAUCUAAAAUUUUAAAAAAUGGAUAAAUUAGGUUCUAAUAUUUCACUAAAAGGAGUUAGUAUAUCACAUUAUUCCAUAUUUCAACGUCUAUUUAAUUUAUAAUUUAAAAAAUAAAUAAAAAAAGAUAAAUUAGAUAUCUUAUUUUAUUAAUAUUAUCAAAAUUGAUAGGUUAUUGAGCAAUUUAUUCAAUUUAUAUAAUUCUAUACUGAUAAGUUACUUAUCUCCACAUCUUUUUUAAUAAAAUUUUAUAGCUAUGAUCCUAAAUAGUCGGAUCUAUUUAAGAUAAUGGUAAAGUAUAAGGGAGUGAUUGAUGUAAAUUUUAAUUUACGAGGAUAAUUAAGAGUAGUAGUGAAGUACAAAGAGCUUUUUACUAGGUUUUUUUUUUAUUUUUUUUUAUUUUUAAGAACUUUUCUUUAGGGGCCAUCAUGCACGACAUAAACUCUAGUAUAUUUUGUUUCUUCGUAACUAAUUUUUCGAUUGAAAAUAGCGCUAUAUUUCAAUUAUAUUAAAUCUAAAUUUUUAAAAUAUAAAUUCAAAACCAUGUUUUAAAUAAUUUGAAAGCUUCCUCUCAUAUGAAAAUGACAAGUUAUUUGUGGAUGGAGAAGAAAGGUAGAGAGAAAAAAGAAAACAAAGAGAAAAGAGAGAUUUAGAUCAUAUAAUGAAAAUAAGUUUACUUAAAUAUUCACGUAUUAAAACUCCACGAAAUUCCUCUUUGGAGUACUUGGUAACCGAUACUUCUUUCAGUUUGACCUGCUAUUGCAGAUCAUAGCAGGUCACAACUUAAAAAAAAAUUAAAUUUGAGCCGUAGAGUAGAAACAAAUGAACGACAUUAAAAAAUAACAAGUAUAGAGCAUUACUCUUUAAAAUAAAGCUUGCUCAAAAAGUCAGGAAGUGCUGGUGUAAUUUAUCUGAAAAUAUAUAUAUAAUGAAAAGUAUAGAAAACCAAACCGAGCCUGGUUACUAUGGAAUUUAUUUUAACGACCGAUUUGGUUUAGUGCUAAAAAUGUGUUACAUGGUAUAACCAGAUCGAAUCAGUUUGAACAAUCUGAACCAACUAGUUUAUAACGAAUCACUAAAUUGGGCAAUUCAAGCCUCUUUGAUACAUGAUAUAAAAAGUGUAAAAGCAAGAGACAUUUAUUAUCGGUGUGACGAUGAAGCCAAAAUACUUACCCAACUGCGUGUAUGGAAUAAUUCUAUGUAAUAUACUUAAAUAAGUUUAAAUUAUUUUAAAAAAUAUAUUUCUAAAACUUCGACUAUCUUAGUUAUACUGCAUGUACACCCCGCGUACAUACGGUAUAAAUGUCACACCCUUGGAAUCCUAGAAUUUGAAAUAAUAUUAAAAUUUUAGAGUAAAAAAUAAUAAUAAGAUUAGUAAAGAAAUUUAAUUUCAUCGUGAAAAAAUUAGAAACAUCUGAAGUGUAAAGAUAGCACAGGUGUAUAGAUAGCGUUUGAAGGGUGAUGAAAGAUCACGCAUAGCAUAAGUGUACGGAGAGCACUUUUAUUAUUAUUAUUAUUAUUAUUAUUAUUAUUAUUAAAAUAACUGGGAAAAUUUAAAAAAAAAGGAAAAACUUAAAAAAAUCUCCCUGUAGUUUCGCAGUUUCUCACUUGAUCACUUUGUGGUUUAAAGUGUAUCAAUUUGGUGCCAUGUGGUUUUAUUUUUAUCUUUUCGGUAGCUUUUUUAUUAAUAUUUCGUUAAAUUAUAUACAAAAAACUUUAAAUACCUAUCUAGAUUUAUUGAAUAUUCACUUUAGUAUCUUUUAAUUUUAACUUUGUCACUGAUUUAAGAAAAAAAAAAUUAUAAAAUUGAUAAUAAAAAGAAAAAAAUAAAAUCAUAUGAUACUAAAUUAAUAUAUUUUAAAUUACAGGGUAUUAAAGUGAGAAAGUACGAAACUACUGAGAGGUUUUUGAAGUUUUUUAAAAAAAAAAAGAAAAAAGAAAAGACCAGAAGCAUCCGGAGAUCGAGCAUCCCAAUGAGGAUAUCCGAAGAUUCCCAACUUUAUCAACAGAAAAAUUAGGGGGAAAAAAAGAAAAAGAGAAAAGCGAGUGAAAACAGUGAAAGUUGGUGGCAUUGAAGCGGUGGUGCUCGCCGCAUAUCCGCAGAAGAUGCCGACUCUUUUCCUCUUUCUCCCUUGGAAUUGUUAUGAUGACACCACGAAAAGCUCAAAAAAGAAGGUGACCUCCCCACGACCCCGAAGAGCCACUCCUCCCAAAGAGUAAAGUGCUAGUCGGCAUGGAUCGUAUCCACGUGUCGUAUCGUAUCAGCAAAAUAUUACUACGAUAUAAUUUUUAUACCGAUGACACAAUUCAAAAUUUUCUAUCCUUAAAAUUAAUAAAUAAAUUUUUUUAAUAAAGUUUAAAAUAUUUGAUAACAAUAUAUAAUGAAUAGUUGGCAUAUUUUGCUUCUAAAAAAAAUAAAUAUUUUAUAUUAUUACGUGUCGGCACAUAUAUAUUUUUUGUGACCGAUAUGGAUCGGCACGGUUCGGCACACAAUGUGUCGUACCAUACCGAUGAGUUUCCGACACGACGUCCGUGGCAUGGCACUUAAAUUCUUACUACCACCAUCACGCAAAUUAGGUAAAAAACGUACGAAGGCCCCCUCAACUAAGGGGCAUAUUUGUAAUGCAUAGGAGGCUUUGUUUGUGAUUGUGAAAAUAUUACAUUACAUCUGAAAAACAGUAUGAUGAAAAAUAUUAUUUUACCUUUUUUAUAAAAAAAAAUAUGCUGUGUAUAAUACAACGGUUUGAUUAUAAUAUAAUUUAUUGAAAAACGUAGAAGUGUAACUCUAUAUAACUCUCAACACCUAAUGAAGCUGGAGACUUUUUCAACUUUUAUUUUUAUCCAAAUUAUUACGAAAUAUAAAUUUUAUUAAAUCUAAUAUAUCUAUUAGGUCCUAGCUGAAUGUAUUAAUAUUUUAUUUGGAAUAUUUCAUUGAUUUUCUCAAAAUACAUGUAGUAGAUUUGAUAAGCUAGGAGUGUGAUUUAAUAUCUAAAUGACUUGCCAUAUUCAGAAAAGAAGCAAUUCUGAAAUGUGGUAUUCACACCGUGUGCACCGUAAUACUCAAAAAAAAAUUAUUUUAACUUUUAAAAUUUAGAUUUUAAAAUUUAGGAUUUUAGAAUUUAGAAUCUAAGGUUUAUGGUUCAGUGUUUAGAAUUUAGGAAUUUAGAGUUUGGAGUUUUGGAGUGGUGCACUAAAUCUAAAAAUAGAAAAUAAAAUAAAAUCCUAAAAUUCUAAACUUUAAAAACUCUAACUCUAAAAGCUAAACCCAAAAAAAAUUUAAAAAAAAUUAUGAGUAUAUAUGAUGCAUUUUGGUACCAAAUAAUAAUCUUUAUUGAAUUUUGGGAGAGUAGUGCGCGCUCACGUGGACUUGGCUGUGGUGUGGUGUCCAUUAGGGAGGCAACCCCAAAUGGAUAUCUUGGGGUUAUUUUUUUAAGAAAUUUUGGUCAGUCGUAAUUUGACUUCAAAUUAUUUUUUAAUAAAAAAUAGAUUAUUUUAGAGGUGAAAUAUUUUUUCUAAUAUCAAGCAUCUUUUGAGAAAUAAAAAAAUAAAUUCUUAGCCUCGAGUCACACUAAAAUUUUUUUACACCGCAUAAACUAUUAAAUAAAAUUUCAUCAGACUAAUAUCACUAUAUUCUAAAAAGUUUUUUUUUUUUAAAAAAGAAAAGUUCAAAUACCAUCCUAUGGUUUCAUAUUUUUUUUCUUUAGUAUCCUAUAGUUUAAAGUGUAUUAAUUUAGUACCAUAUAGUUUCACACUUUUUUACUUUAGUACUCUGUGGUUUAAAGUGCAUCAAUUUAGCACCCUGUGAUUUCUUCUUUUUUUUUUUUUUCGUCGGCUCCUCUGUUAAUAUUUCAUUGAAUUAUAUAUAAAAACCUUCAGAUACCCUAUCUACAUUUAUCGAAUAUUUACUUUCGUACUUUUUAUUUUUAACUUUUUGUUACUGAUUUUUUUUUUCCUCGGUCAAUAUUUCGUUAAAUUAUAUAAAAAAAAUUUCAGAUACCUACCUAAGUUUAUCGAAUAUUCACUUUUGUACCCUUUAAUUUUAACUUUGUCGCUGAUUUAACGAAAAAAAUUAGUGAAAUAGAUAAAAAAAAGAGAAAAAUAAAACCACAGGGUACUAACUUGAUACGUACUUUAAACCACAGGAUACUAAACUGAGAAAGUGUGAAACCACAGGGGCUAACUUGAUACACUUUAAACUACAUGGUAGUAAAGUGAGAAAAUGUGAAACCACGAUGGGGUAUUUGAAGUUUACCCAAAAAAAUUUGGAGCUGAGAGGGUCAUUUCAAAAUCACCUAUAGUUAAGGGGUUUUCUAUACAUUUUUACCUACAAAAUAAAAGCACACAAUGGGGCUCUCCCGUCUCCCUCCUCUUAAUGCCCACAUGAUGUUCAUAAAAACUUGGGCAUAUGUUUUCCCCACCUCCUCCCAUUUCACAGGAAAAGAAGAGAGAGAGAGAGAGAGAGAGAGAGAGAGAGGUGGUAUCAUGUAGUUUGUCCUUUUGCUUCUGCUAAUUGCCUACAAUUGCAGUCUGGAGAAAUGGCAUAGUAAUGGUAUGAUGAGUUAAGAAAGGAGAAGCAGAAGCACUUCUGGUAGGGCAACUUGGAUCCUUUGGCAUUUCUGGCUUCCUGCAUAUACUGAAGAAGAUAUAUACAUAUAUAUAUAUAUGGUUCAUAUAUGGGCUAUUCAUACAGGAAGUUCAUGCAACAUAUUCUGUACUCUGUGUGUGGGCUUUUGUACUUAUGCUUCUUCUUCUGCUCCUUUGUUGCCUUCAAAUUAAUAAGAAUGUAGCUUUGUUGGAAGCUGUUAUAUAUUGAUAUUACUCUCUCUCUCUCUCUCUCUCUCUCUCUCUCUCUCUCUCGUUCACUCACUCACUCUCAGUGUCUAUAUUAUCAAACAAAGUUCUUGAUGCCAUAAAAAGUGUUGAGUCUUCGAUUCAAAUACUGCUUAACUGAAAAUAAUAUAUGUACGCUUUGCCUACAUGCGGUAUUAUCGUAAAAAAGAAAAAAAAAAUGUAUUUGUUGGACAAAUAAAUGAUCGUAGAGUCUCUGGUCUUGCAAUUUUGUCACGACCCGAUUCAAAAUUUCAAAGUUUAACUAAACUAUGGAUUCUAAUAUUGAAAGUUUGAUAAAGUUUGAUUGGUUUCAAAAUUAAGCCUAAAUUUAGUUCUUUUUGGACCCAAAUGAUUCUUGGUUGGGAUACCAGCUAGCUGUGAGGAUCACCGACGUUGAUCGCCUGUUGUCCCUCCGCUUCUCCCUUCUAUCUCCUCCUCUCUACUGCAAACCAUGCAUCAAGUGCCGCUUGAGCCUGAAGUUGGAGAAUCGUACGUGUUACGAGCAGUCCGUUCCUCGAUUUUCAGUAAAACCUGAGCUCAUGCUCAAACCCAGGUUUUUUGAUGUUAUAUAGACCUUGAUCUUUGGACGUUUCAGGGGGUUUAAUUAACUUGUUAGUUGAGUUUUACUUUGUCACCGUAAUUGGUAAAGUUCAAUCUCAUGCAUGCAGUCUCUGGUUACUGGUUCCACCCUUUCGAUUGACCGACAUUAAUAUUGAUAGGAACCCUAGCCUCAGGUUAAUUACCAAACACUCGAUCCCUUAUGGUCGGCCGUUCUUGAACCAAGACUCGAUCGUGGACUACAACGCAGUAAGCACUUGAAGUCUUGUUUUUGGGAUUGAUGUUAGUUGAGUUUCUUUGUUGAUAUAUUUUAGGUUCUUGAUCGAUGGAUUCCUCGAUUACUUUCGUGCCAUCUACGUGCUUUGAUAUGGACUUUGAAAAAUCGGUGAGUAGGAAUUAUCCAUCUGAAUUACACCAUUAACUUCCAUCUGAUUGUCCAUAUUUAUUUAUAUGAGUACUCUUAAGCUUGACAUCAAAUUUCUUGAAGAGAAAAGUAGAACCGGCUCCAAUAGAGCGCACCCUUUCCUCUUAUGUGUAGAAACCGAAAAUUAAAUUUCCUACAUGCCCAAAAGCGCACAACCACCGUAGAAAACAAGAAUGGAGAAAUAGAAUACUCACAAUAAUAAUCUCAAACAACUCCACAUAUAAAAUUAAACAACUUCACCAACAAUAUUCAAAACACUAUACAAUGAAAAUCGAAAAGUACUAAAUAAACCUUCAAUAAAAAACAUCUUACAAUGAAUGUUCACAAGAGAGCAGAAGGGGGAGAUUAGAGGUCACCCACCUCAAACUUAGCAAAAUCCUAACCACCUUUGGCCUCUCUUUCACACUUCUCUUGCACUUGAGAGAAACACCAAAAUGAGGAAAUUUUUGGAGCUAAAAAAAAGAAGCUCUCUUUUUCCUCUUAACCUAUUUUCUUUUGACCCUCUAACUAAAACUCAUAUAGACCAACUUGGCUUACUUAGUCCAAAAUAAGCCACAAGUCAACUUGACUCAAAAAGAACAAAAAAAGGCCAAUUUUAACAAUAGACCAUUAGGCUCCUAUAAAUACACUUAUUAAACUAGUAAAUAAAAUGAAACAAAAAAGAAAAAAGUUUAGUACUAAUUUAACACUCCCCCUUAGUGCAAACUUAUGAGAAACCAAACCGAGCCUUUCUUGAAGUUCUACAAACUUCGCCUUUGGAAGAGCUUUGGUAAAGAUAUCCGCCAAGUUGUCUUGAGGCUGCACUUCCAUUAACUCGAUUUUUUCAUGAAGCACUUUCUCCCGAAUGAAGUGGUGCUCCACUUCAAUAUGUUUGGUUCUAGCAUGAAACACAGGAUUUGCCGCCAACUUGAUUGCACUUUGGUUGUCACAAUGAACCUUCACCGGAUAAUUGACUUUCAUUGUCACAUCACCAAUCAAAAUCCACAACCAUACACAUUCUUGUGUCGUAAGGGUUACCGCUUUGUAUUCCGCCUCCGUACGUACUAGAGAACGCCAUGGUGUCUUGCUUCUUACUACACCAUGAUAAACAAGCAGAACCCAAUUCGAAUAUAUAGCCUGAUGUAGAUUUUCUCUCAUCAAGAUCCCCCGCCAAAUCAGCGUAGGUAAAACCUACAAAUUCACAUAUUGCAAUCUUCUUAUAAAGAAGACCAAGAUCAAGAGAGAAAUUGACGAACAUGAGAAUUCUCUUAGCGGCAUCCAAAUGAGGCUUUCUUGGUGCUUGCAUAAACUGGCUAACUACUCCCACUGAAUAUGCAAUAUCCUGCCUAAUAAUAGUAAGAUAUAGCAAGCUACCAAUAAAUGUUUGAUAAAGUCUUGGAUCCUCAAGAGCCUUACCAUUACCCUUUCGCAACCUCAUAUUUGAAUCCAAAGGAGUAGAGCACAACUUGCUCUCCUUCAAACCAAACUUUUCAACAAGUUUUGACGCAUAGUGUUUUUGAGAGACAAAAAUACUAACACUACCCUUCUUAACUUCCAAUCCAAGAAAGUGGCUUAACUCACCUAAAAUUUUCAUUUCAAACAGAAUAGCAAGCUUAUCUCUAAGCUUAGUAAUCUCCUCAGUAUUGUCUCCGGUAACAAUCAUGUCAUCCACAUAAAGUAACACAAUGGCAUGCAUACUAUUAUACUUCUUCACAAACAUACUUGGAUCGGAAUUGGAAACAUGAAAACCACAAAAGAGAAGGUAUUGAGCAAUCUUACCAUACCAAGCUUGUGACGCUUGCUUGAGCCCAUAAAUAGCCUUUUUCAACUGGCAUGCAUGAUUUGGAGAAGUCUUUGAAAUAAAGCCCAGCGGUUGGCUCAUAUAAAUCUCCCAGUCCACCUCUCCAUACAAAAAAGACAUUUUUGACAUUAAGUUGCCGCAUCUUCUAUCCUAUUGAAGCCGCCAACGAAAUGAGAACUCGAACUGAUGUCAUUUUGGAUGUUGUAGCUUGCGCUCCGCCACCCCAUUUUGUUGUGGAGUGUGAGCACAAGAUAAAUGCCUCUGAAUCCCAUGCUCUCUACAAAAUUCUUGAAACUCCUUUGAUAUAUAUUCACCAUCUUCAUCACUUUUCAAACACUUGAUUCAUCUCCGAUGCUCCCCUUCCACCGUAGCUUUAAAAAGCUUAAAUUUAGAGAAAGCAUUGGGCUUCUCUUCAAGAAAAUACACCCACGAGAAUCUUGUGUAAUCAUCCACAAAUAGAAGCAUAUAUCUAUAUCCGGAAUAACUCGCUGCACUAUUUGAUACUAAGAUAUCCGUGUGAAUAAGAUCAAGUGAUUUCUUACUUCUCGACUUUGAGUCUUCAAAUGGAAGUCGGUGGAAUUUUCCAAGUUGGCAUCCUUCACAUACACCACCAACUUUGACUUCACCAAUAGUAGGCACAUCAUCUACUAGCUUCUUGGAGAAUAUUUGCUUCAUUUUAUCAAGAGCCAUAUGUGCCAAUCUUGCAUUACAUAAGAUAAUAUUAUCAUUUUUGCUGGUUUUCUCUACAUAUGAGUCACCGGCCGAGAGCACAUAAAGCGAUUUUACUCGCUUUCCAUGAUGCACAACAUCCGCAUCUAGACUCCAAAGAUUUCACAUAAUCUUCACAUCAUGAGGGCCAAAGAGUAUAUAGUUAUCGGCAUCCAUAACUUGAGAAACGAAAAUGAGAUUUUUAGUCAUAUCGGGCACAUGAUAAACGCUCUUCAAGAUGACUCCAUCCUCCAUCUUCACAACACCUUCAUUUACUACAGGAUUAACCGUGUUGUCCACCGUGACAAUAGCAUCAUUUCCUUCAUAGUGAACAAACUCAUUAAACUUAGACUUGUCACAGGUCAAAUGAUGAGAGCAACUGAAAUCAACUAUCCAAUUAAUCCUUUUGAUAAGAUACUUGCAAGGACUUGGAGAAUCACCUUCCAAUGCAUCACCGGAAUAAAAAGCAUGAACCCCAAUCUUUUACUUGUUUUCUUUUUGGUUCUUUAGAGCCAACUUUUUCCUCAUGAACUUUUACCCGACAAUCUUGCUUUAUAUGCCCAUUUUUCCACACCGGUAGCAUUUCACAUUCUUCCUUCGUGAAGCAUCAUUAUUGCAAGAUAAGCUUUCGCUUUCAUGUGCUCUUCCAUAAUUUUUUGUUUUCUUUGGAUCCCACUUCUUGCCUCUAGUAAGCAAUGCUUUUUCACUCUCAUCUUUAUCAGAGAUUGAACAUUCCACCAUUUGCUUCACCAAGGCCUCUUGAUUACUAAGCAAAUUUUCGAACUCCACCAAUGUAGGUUGUGCCACCCAACCUUGGAGAUUAGGCAAACAGAUUAUUUUCUUUCCGAAGCCCGUAAAUAAUAUACUGUUUCAACUUUAUUUCACUAAUAACCUCAUUUGGAUCCAAACUUAAUAUUUCGGCACAUAGAUUCUUCACCUUUAGAAAAUACUCCGAAAUGCUCGUACUCCCUCGAGUUAGUCUUGAUAAAUCAUUCUCAAAAAAUUGCAACCGAGCCUCAUUCUUUUUUGUAAAUAGCUUCUCAAAAGUAUCCCAUAUUUCUUUUGGUGUCUUAGCCUCUUUAAUAUGAUCAAACAAAUCCUUGUGAAUUGAUGUCUUUAAGGCAAACAUUGCCUUAUCGCUUCCAGCAAGUCAUUUCUUUCUUUCCCUCUCAUUUCCUAGUGCUUUCUUCGGCAUAUCGAUGUCAUUCCCGUUCACCGUAUCCUAUAACUCUUGGUCUUGAAGGUAUGCUUCCAUGCAUGACUUCCAAAUUGGAAAAUUUGAAUUUGUGAGCCUUUCUAUCCCAAAAUGAUUGAAGCCUCCAAUAGAAUCCAUCAAAGAGGAAUUUCAAUAAACGCCUUGUAUGCACUACUUGUAAACACCUCCCUCUUGCUUCCCAAGGAUGUAGGAUCUCCAAUCUCACUACAAAAGCCUUUGUAGCUCUGAUAUCAUAAAGAGAAAAGUAGAACCGGCUCCAAUCGGAGUGCACCCUUUCCUCCUAUGUGUAGAAAUAAAAAAUUCAAGCACGCCCAAGAUCACACAACCAUCGAAGAAGACAAGGACGGAGAAAUAGAAAGCUCACAAUAAUAAUCUCAAACAACUCCACAUAUAAAAUUAAACAACUUCACCAAUAUCCAAAACACCAUACAAUGAAAAUCGAAAAAUACCAAAUAAACCUUCAAUCAAAAACACCUUACAAUGAAUAUUCACAAGAGAGAAGAAAAGACAGAUUAGAGGUCAACCAACUCAAACCUAGCAAAAAUCCAAGUACCUUUGGACCCUCUUUCAUACUUCUCUUGCACUUGAGAGAAAUACCAAAUUAAGAGAAUUUUUUGGAGCUAAGUGUCACGGCCUUAGCGGUUCUGUUCGCAAAGUCCGUGCGGCGCCCGCCUUCCUACUCGAAGAUGGGCAAGCCUUCGUCCCUAUUACUAGUCCGGACCUUCGCGUCCUAUGACUAAGUAUGCAAAGGAAAAUGACAAAGAAAAAGAGGCAAAGGUUCUCUCAAAAAACUAAGUACUACACUACUUAGAAAUGAGAAUUACAACCUACAAACAGCAUACAAACACACUCUCUCUUGUGUGUUUUGACCUUAACCAAAAUCCCACUACUUAUAAGCUCCUAAAUACAAUGAACCUAGACACACACUAACUCUUUCAUUAUGAGACACAUUAACUCACCUUUAUAAUGAACCAUAAGCCCAAAAGUCACCCCAUAACUCAUGGGAGUUUCAUAACCCUUGAGCUUCCAUCAUUGAUGGAAAAAGUUACAAAACCCUUCAUCUCUCUACAGCGGGUUGGGUUCGGGUCUCUUUAACGACCCGCUCCACUAGCAAAAUUGGGCUACUGUCAAGGAGAAGUCAGCGGAAAAUAUUUUAUCCGUGACAUAAGGGUGUAUUUGGUUCCUGUAACGACUCAGCCCACUAGCAAUAAUAACUCGUUGGGCCCAACAACCGGCCCAAAAUGCUUAAGCCCAGUUAUUAUUACUAGUGUCUAAGUCUCUUAUAAACCCAAUGACAACCCCAUUCCCAUCCGAUGUGGGACUAUUGGGGUGUCACAGUUCCACGUAAAACUGUGGAGAAAAAAUUUCUGGUGGGAAAAAAGUUAUACGUUGUUUGUAUUUGUGUUUGGAGGAAAAGAAAAAUAAUUUUCUAUGACGGUUGUUUCGUUGAAAGGAAAAGAAAAAAAAAAAAACUAUUUAAUAUAUUUUUUAUUAUAUAUAUUAUUAAUAUAUAAUAAUUAUUAUUAUUAUGCUAUAUAUGAAAAAUUAUUAUAUAUAUUUUCUCCUGUUAUAUAUAUAUUAUAUAUUAUUAAUAUAUAAUAAUUAUCAUAAUAUAUUUAAUUAUUAUAAUUUAUAUUUAUAAACAAGAUAUAUUUAAAAUAUAUUAUAUAAUAAAUAUAUAAUAUAAUAUAUAAUAAUAAUGUAUAUUUAAUAUUAUAAAAUAAAUUAUUAUAUAUUUAUAAAUAAAAUAAAAUUAUAUAUAUAUAGGUAAGUGGUCCAGGACCACUCACCUCGGUCCACGAGCUCUUACAUGAGCUCGUGGACCCCGAUGCAAGGAAGCGCAUAAGCUGCGAUUUUUCAUCGUGGACCCCUCGUGCACUCUCCCUCACGUGGUCCACGAGGUGAAGUCACCUCGUGGACCGCGUGUUAACAUUCCUGCGCCGCGAUUUUUCAUAGCGCCAGGUUUUCGUUUUCCGCCCGAUGCGAGUGGAAAACGAAAAGGGUUUGUUUUCUAAGAAUCUGUAAAAAAUAUUUUUCCCAAAAAUUUUUUCAAACAACCAAACAGGAAGAAAAAUUUUUUUCAACCGAAAAAUUUUUUUAGGAGCUAUUUUACGAGGAUCCAAAUACCCCCUAAAGAGAAGAAGUACUCUUUUUCCUCUUAACCUAUUUUCUUUCGGCCCCCUAACUAAAAACCCAUAUAUAUAGUCAAACUGGGCUCACUUAGCCCAAAAUAAGUCAUAAGUCAACUUUACUCAAAAAGAACAAAAAAAAGAGGCCCAUUUAAACAAUAGGCCAUUGGGAUCCUACAAAUACACUUAUUAAACUAGUAAACAAAAGAAAACAAAAAGAAAAAAGUUUAGCACUAAUUUUUAACAUCUUAUAGGACUGAUAUCUAGAUGCAUGCUCUUAGGAAAAACUCCAGAUUCAAUUAGUGACAUGAAGCCCUUAGGAAAAAAUUCUUUCAAGCCCUUUGAUGUUCCUUGAACUUGGUAAAGAGCCCAAAUCUAGACAAUCAACUAUCCACUCAAUCCUACGGGACCACUAUUAAUCUAACCAGAAAUCACUAUCAUCCUAACCGCACAUCUCUUUAUCCAAUUGUUGGAAACUUAUGAGUACAGAGGGGUCAUACUCAUAAGAGUAUAGGAGCCCUAGCCUAUAUAUGUAUAUAUAUUAUAUUUUUUAAUUUAUAGAUAUUUAAACUAUAGUAGAAUAAAUUUAAUUAAUUAAAAUUUAUUUUAAAAUUUUAUUUUUGACAUUUCAAUCAUAGAAAUUUACUGGUGUUUAUGAAAUAUACACAUCCAUGAGGUGUAGGUAAUAAUUUAGCCUAGAGAGGAGCCAUUGUUUGUGGACAUAUGUCUAUUCCAUUAUUGCACCAGGUGCACUAUGGACCCAAUAAAAAAAAAAUGUAAUUAUAUUUUAGCAAAUAUGCCUAAAAUUUAUAAAUAUUAAUAUAUAGACAUUUUAAAUAUUAUAAAAUAACUUAAAUUAACUAAAAUUUAGAUUUGACAUCUCUAUUGUACAAAUUUACAAGUGUGUAUGAGAUAUACAUAUAUACUAGGUGCGGUAAAUGAGUUCGACUAGCUAAAAGCCACUUUGAAUUAGACUUCAACCUUUAAUUAUUUUGAUUUGAGCUAUUAUUCUAAAUAAAUUAGUUGGAAGCUUUGUUAGAUAUAACAGUUUCAUUUCCUAUCAACUGUUAAACAAAUUGGAGUACUCCCCCACUUUUUGUCAAUUAUCUUUUGUAAGUUCUAAUUUUAGAAAAAUUAUAUCUAAUCUCUCCAAUGUUUUUAUAUACUUUUGAGAACUAUUUGGUGCUUAAUUUUGCUAAAGUUAGAAAUUUCUUACAAAAAUAAAUAUAUGUUUAUAAAUUUUAGAAAAAUAUCAUAAAAUCAAUCAAUUAAAAAACUAUAAAUCAAGUAAUUGCCUUUUUAUUUUAUCAUAAUAUUUUCAAUUCUUGACAUUGUAUGCAUUGAUUAACAAAAAUAAUCUAAAUAGAGUUAAAAGAAUAAAAAGUAAAAAAAUACAAAAAGAGGAAAUGCAUCUUUUGGAUAAAUUGGCCUAAAAAAUAAGCAUAUUAGGAAAUUACUUUUUUGUUUCAGAAAAUUUUAUAUUUUGGUAUCAGAUGUAGAUACAAAUAUAUUUAAAGCAUAUAUUUAUUAAAAAUAUAUAUUAUGUUUUAUAAAUAUGAUUAAGAAUAUAACUAUCGCAUUCGGAGCAAAGCGUGGGUACAUCGCUAGUAGUUAUCUAUUUUUGAGCUUGUUGGCUAGGAUAAUGACACUUGGUUGGCCUCUUAAUUAUAAACCCUUAUGGUGAAUUCUCCUACAAGAGCCUUCUCAUACAUACUACGUUGGGUCCCUAUGAUGUGAUGGCAUAAAUAGGUGAAUCUUUCUAAUUUGUUGAGACAGUAAGUCUUAGUAUGUGGUUCUCCGGAUGUAGGAGAUGUUUAGUGGUUGGUUAUCUAACUUGCAUUGUGGUAUCUGAGAUUUUGUUUUUGAGAUAUAGUUCUUUCUAGUUGAAGUGGGUUGUGGAACAGAGAUUCCGAUAAGACACGAUAAGUCAAUGCACAUCCAGUUUAGUAGGCUGAGACAUGAUGACCUAACACUAAAAUAGGGUAGGGUUAAACUAGAUCUCAAGCAUCAUAUUCAGAAAAUAGAAUAAGGUGCCGAAAAGCUAGUGUGCAUUUUGUGUGGAUAUAAUAUUAGAAUUUACUCGAUAGUAUUAAUGAGAAUGAAUAACAUAUUUUUUAAGUAAUCAGAUAUGUUAUGACGACCUAUUUUGGAGCAGCAUCCGGUGCAUCAAGAUGAGUGAUACAGUUUUCAAGUAAAGUGAUGAUUGUGCUUUUUCUCUAUUUAUUAUUAUUUACUAUUAUAGUGGACCUUACCAUUCCUUAUAUUGUUAUCCAGUAGUUAUAUUUAUCAUUUAAUAUUCAUUAAAUAAUUAAUUAUUAGCCUUUUGAGACAACAUCCUAAGGAUUUGGGACUCGUGCUCAGGCUGUAUUUUGCAGAUUGAGAUUCCUCAGAUGGUCAUGGGAGAAGCUAGUUAGCUCCAUACUGUACAGUAGGUCUGCAUCAAUUAUUACUUGACGUAUUGCCUUAUCCACACUAACAAUUGUGCCCAUUAUUAUGUAUUUAUUUCGCUUCUGCUGUUUGUAUAUCCUUUGUGAUCCUUAACUUUUCACUUUUGUUAGUGUAAAAUUGAAGAUUUAAGAUUUAUUUGUUCUUGAAAAGCCUUGCACAACUCUUGCACAUCUGUUAGUCUUGCACAGUUGUCGCACAACUAAGAAAGAUUCACCUAUUUUUGAGCUCGUUGGCUAGCAUAUAUAGGUGAAUCUUUCUUAGUUGAGACACUGAUGCUUGUUAGAUGUGUCUCAAAAUUUGAUCAUAGAGAGUUUAAAGACCAGGAAAACUUCAAAAGAUAAACCUCAGAGACCAAUCUAUUCGCAAAAUAUUACAGGCCAUAAUGCACAAGAAUUUAAGGAUUAACCAUACAAACUUAUUAUCAUAAAAUAUACAGUAUAAAUAUUCUCAAUGAGCUUAAGAUUUGAAGAACACAGCAAUUUCUACUUUGUAAAUGUUCAAUUCAUACCCUACUAAACAUCAUGUCAUCUAAAUUUGAAACUGUCCACCCAUUUCAUCUUAAAAACCCUACAUCCCAGUCCAAAGUCUCAAGCUUUCAGAAUACAUGGUUAUUUACAUUUUUGAUGGGUUCUCGUUUUCGAACACCACCCCCACUGUCGCUCUCUAGUUCAUAGCAACCAUCCGAGACCCAAAUGCUUACAUGGAUCCAAGAUAUGAACCCCAGAGUGAAGACGAUGUGUGUGUGUGUGUGUCUAUAUAUGACAGCGUACACAUUUGAUAUUACGACAUCAUGCAAUCUUCUAUCUGGCAACAUUUACAAUCCCCAGAAACCCUAACCCUAGCCUUCAGUGUUCCAUUGUCUUCUCAUAUUACUACAACUCGACAGCCUGUGACAAACAAAGAAAUUACAUGCAAUCAGAGACUUUAAUAUACUGUCUGUAGCAACAACGAUCUUCGAUAACUAUAUGGAAGCUCAUAGUUGAUAGUGUAAGAAACAUAUUUCAAGCUCAAUAUUUGAAUGACAGGUUGUAGGAAAAAUAUAUAGUUUAAGCUAAAUUGCUUGAUUAGAUUGUCCAUAUUUAACAUAGAAAUCUGCAGUUUUUCAGUCAAUAUGCUAUAAAACAUAAUAUGAAAUUUUGAUUUACAUGCACUGCCAGAGAUUUUAAUUAUGUUAAAAUCUAGGAAGUUUUGUGCUGAUGAGUAAUUUCAGUACCAAAAAAGACAAACUGAAAUUAUAUGCCCUUUUAUACUUAAUUCAUCUUUUAAUUAGCAAAACGCAUAUUAUGAUUCGAUAUUUAAAUAAAUUCUCAUACAUUUUUAGAACAAUAACCAAAGCUACUGUGCUGUUCUAAGGAUAAAGACUGUGACAAGUCAUUUUCGAUUACAGGGCACAACAAUCGAGAAUCCACACCAUUAACAUGAUUUAGAAUAUUAUCUAGGAACCGAGUUUUAUGAUUUUUGAAUAUUAUUUUACAGAGGCAUCAAGUAGCCACAAAAUAAAUGGUAAGAAUUAAACAUUAUAAAAACAGAUAAUAUGACAUGAAUGCAAUAUAAUGAUAUUGAUUUGGAUGGUUAAAGGCACUUUGUAACAAAGAGUGAACCGGUUCAGAUGUUUUUUUCUUGUUUUUUUCUUUGGUUUUUAUUUUUUUUUCUCGAGGAGAACUGGUUCAGAUUGUUAUACAUAAAAAAAAAAAAAACAAUCAUUUCAUAUCAGCCAUUUUUUAUCUCUGGAUGGCUAACUAGGUGGUACCUAAGUGGGUGAUUUAAGACCUUUCAUCCUAAGGUAGAUUAUGUCAAAUAUCAUGAAAUUUGAUUUCUAGAUGUUUCAAUUCUCUGUACAUUCUUUUAAUAUUGUGGAUCUUUACCUACAUAAACUUAUAUUUGGAAACUAAACUAAUAUAAUUGUCCAGGCUAAGAAGGUGGUACCUAAACAGUCGCCUAAUGUUCUAGGCAUCCAAUGUGCUUAAAAGAGAUUAGGCAACCGAACCAUACAUGGUCUAUACAUGGUCGACUUUUGACAACCUAGGAAAACAACAACAUGCGAUGUGCUUCCAAUCUCGUAAUUUAAUUGCGUCAACUAACCAUUUUGUAACUCACCUAAAGGUGUUGGAGGCCCUGGAUGGCUAAAAAGAAACAAAAAAAAAAAAAAAUGAAACCAAUAGAUCUCAAAGGUAUAAUUGGAUUUAGCUUCUAAAACAGUCCCCAUAUAUGAUAGCUUUCUAAUAAGUUUACAAAUUGCGAUUUCCAAGACUUAUGCAGUCAAUUGUUUUCACGGAUUCUAGCAUAUUACAAGGGGGUAUUUGGAUAACAUCAAUAACCAUGGUAUCAAGGGUUCUCUACGAAAACUUGUUUCAAUAACUUUUAGUCUACAAUAACCAAUUCGGAUGGCCUUAGGAAUCAAAAAAUUUCUGUAGUAAUAAGCCAAAUGCCACAAUAAGAUCAAAAUCUAUUCCAACCUCCAUGUCCUAAAUAACUGUACAUGAAGCCCUAUAUCAAAUAGUCUUCUACCCUCAUAAUCCUCUUCUUUUAAUCUCUGUAUCCCAGUGCCCCUGUGAGGAAGCUUGCAAAACUGCCACGGCUAUGUGACGGACUAUGCACAUACUUAAGAUCCCACGAAAAAGAUAGGCCGUGUAGGGAUGUGGCCGAACAAUAGUGAGGUGAGAAUUUCUAGCGCUGAGGGGGAGCAGCAAAAUUAGCUGAGCUGCCAGGCUGAGGAGAUCAAAAGAGAGGGAUCAGAAUUUUCUUUUUCUUGUUCUGUUUUCUUUUUGGAGAGAGACUGAGAGGCCUUAGCUCUAUGGUCUAUCUGAGGAGAUCAAAAGAGAGGGAUCAGAAUUUUCUUUUUCUUGUUCUGUUUUCUUUUUGGAGAGAGACUGAGAGGCCUUAGCUCUAUGGUCUAUCUACGCUUCCUAAGAGGCUGUAAAAGUUUCAUAAAGACCCAAACGAGAACACCAUGUUGCAUGCAUGCAUUGUGUACCAACAACUAAUCGAAUUCCGAACGAACAACUAGAAUUUUCUGCAUGGGUUAAAUCGAAAAACAACUUACUUUCAUAAUAAACUCAUCGAGUAAAGGCAGUCUAUGCAAUCAAUAGAAGAGUUGAACCAACUUAACAAAUGAUGAGCAUCGUGGAAGGUUUUUCUCAUGAAAGAAACUUGACAAUAAUGAAAGAUAAUUUAUGCAAGAGAAAAUGAUCAAAAGUAAAGCAGAUAUGAAAGUAGUUUACUUGAAUUUUUUUUCUUUACACGUCUCGUCAUUCUAAUAAUUCAAUUGAGAGCUAAUGAAAUAGUAGGCAAUGUCAGAGCACAUUCAUGAAUAUGGAGAAAAAACUUCAGCUUUUGGAGUAAUAAGAGUUUCUUUUUAUAGCAGAUUACUGAUUUUUAACAUAUUACAAAAAGCACUAACAGAAAUUGAUUUGUUUACCUUUAUGUCGCUACACAACUGAUCUCAAUCUAAAACUGACCACCUGUAAGUUCUGAACAAUCAGUCUCAGCUUGCAAACAUACAGAGACCUCUAGUUAAUUGUCAUGUUCUCUCUCAAAAAUAUUGUUUUACAGACUAGAACACCUGCAAAAUUUAAAAAAUGAGGUCUCAAUGUCUAAUUAGGCUCUUUAAUACCAACAAAUAUAAAUUGUAUUGCCAUUACAGUUAUUACAUUUACAUCUACCAUCUUCUAUACAUGCUGUUUUGACAGUUAGUUAUCCUGCUGAAUCAACUCAUCACUGGGCUCAUGGGAGAAUGCAUGGACUGCUCCACUUGAAACAAUGUUCAACUGUUAUAAUUUGCAAAGAAAAUAAAAUAUAUUAAGGGCAUGCAUGUUAACCACACAAAAACUAAUUUUAAGCAUGCUAGCGACCAAAGAAUGUCUCAAACGGUCAAAAGCAUUAAUUAAUCUACCUGCUUUUUUGGACAGUUUCGGCUGGUAUGCUCAGCUGCAUUCUUGCAUGUAUUGCAAAUUCUCAACUUCCUAGGAAGCUUCUUGCGACUUAGCUGGGAUUGAGAACUCGGAGAAGUCUUUCUCUUUCUAGAUCUUUGACUAAAUGGGAAAGAAUAUUCAAGCUGUUGAAUGUUCUCAUUACCUCCACUGGAAACGAGUCCAAGCUUAGAAGCUCCAUUAUUCUUUUUAAUAGCUGUAACUUUCUUAACCGCCUCUUUUAAAGCACACAUUGCCACAUUAUAGACAUCCGGAGAAGCUGCACCAGCCUCCGCAUAUUUCAUAGCUUCUUGACACAGUUUGUUAUACCGAGAAGUCAACGAUUCUUGGCUGCUAUGGUGGAGUUCGAUCUGGCUAGCACUUUUACUAUCAUUAGAUAAGUGCUUCUGCAACUUCCGUGCUUUUCUCAACGACCCUAGUGGAUGAUUAUGAUCCUUCUCAAACUUUGAAACGAACCAUUUUCCUGAAGUAGUCUUCUUUACCAUAAGCAUUGCUUUACAACCAACCCGUGUGGCUUCUCGAGGCCUUUUAAUCUUACCUUCACUACCUGCAUCUUUCUUCGUAUAGAAACCCUCUUUAGAGCACACAAAUAAUCGAGAAAUGAUUGACCUGUCUCGCUUUGAUCGGUAGUACGUACUUACACGCAUGUUAAACCCUACUCGUCUGGAGUAUGCAAAAUAAAAAAUCUUUGAAGCCUCCUCGGAUUCAAACUCCAAACCCUCAUAGGGCUCAAUAAAUCCAGUACCAUCUUGAGCACCUAAGACCUUCUCUAUCCCAAUCAUGUCAUCAUCCUCGGCAUUAGAAUGAUCAUCAUCAGAUGAUGCUGGCAGCUUUAGCUGAUGAUUAUGGUGUUUGACAAGCUUUGAAACAACCCAUUUCCCAGAAUCUCGUUUUUUCACCAUAAUCAUCGCCUUACACCCAACCCUAGUAAUGGCUCUCGGCCUUUGAAGCUCUUCACCAUUUUCAUCUUUCUUUGCACGGAAUCCUUCUUUUGAACAUACAAUCAAUCGAGAGAUGAUUGAGUUAUCCCGCUUUGACCGAUAGUACGAGCUCACACGUGCCCUAAAUCCCACGCGCCUAGCAUAUUCUUUAUAGAAUAAUUGCGCUUCUUGUUCUGACUCGAACUCCAUUCCCUCAUGUGGUUCUAGGCCAGGUUCCCCUUCAGGAAGAACACUUAGCAUUUCUUGUGCGUUACCUACCGCUCCACCAAGCUUAUCUUUUCCAUUUCUUUCCUCUUCGCAUGAAUAAGGAUCAUAGCCCAGCAUCUCUACUUUUCCUUGUGUCCCAAGAACAUGAUUAUGAAUCUUUUCACAUUUUGUAAUAAUCCACUUCCCUGAACUUUGUUUCUUUACCAUUAUCAUAGCCCUGCAGCCCACCCUGGUGAUCAUUCUAGGUCGUUUAGUUCUUCCUUCAAUACUUGCGUCUUUUGUAGAACGAAAUCCUUCUCUUGAGCAUACGAGUUGCCUCGAAAUUAUUGUUUUGUCGCGCUUUGAACGGAUGAAUGAACUGAUGCGUGCUUUAAAACCCAUCUGAGUAGCGUAUGCAUUAUAGAAUUCCUUCGCAGCUUCCUCAGAAUCAAACUCCAUACCUUCAUAUGGUUCUACAAUUGGCUCAAAUAAUUCUCUAUUAACGGAAGUUUCUAUCAAUUCAUCUACAUCACCAAUUUGAGGUUCCACAUCAACUGCAAAGACAUGCAACGGUUCGACAGAAAUCAAAAUUAGCCAUAGUUUAUUCAUCAAAGGGAUGGCAAUAGUAUUACUAAGAAUAUGGCAAAUUUGUUCACUAAUAUAUAACAAGUACUUCGAAUCAAAACAGAGAAAUUUCAUGGCUCGGAUCUUUAAUAUUCUUUUAUUUAGCACCUGCUUUUACUAUUUAGGUAAAGUGUCAUCAGCAAUUAUCACUUUGAAAUUCAGAGAAACCUCAGAAACCAAAGAAAGGGAGAAACUGAGGAAGAAAGUGAUAUAAAAACAACGUCAUAAACACGGUCCCUCCAAAGAAGAACCUUCACUUUGUUGACAGCACCAAAAACCAUCGAUAAAAUGUUUAUAUAUGAACAAUUAUAUGCAUGCCCAAAAAAAGGCCAAAAGGAAGUGCGCGAAUUUAGUAAUUAUACAUGCAUGCAAAACCAAAGAUAUUCUUAUCCUAUCCCAAUAAUCAUCAAACCCAUCGCUAGCACAAACAACAUUCGAUAUCGAACAAUAAUACCAAUAAUACCUAAAGUAUUACUAAUAGUAACUAACAACUCAACAAACGAGUGAACAUCUAGCAUUCCCUUUAACUCACCAUUUCAAGCCCUAAUAUAUUGUUAGUGCACAACUGAUUACAACAUAUUCAAAACCACUAUGAAGAUUUGUUUGGUUAUCUGCAUUGCAAGCUGCAUUAUACAUACAACUAUAGACAAAUCCAAAAUUCUAUUUGGUUUGUUCUAGUUGUAUCUAAAUACCACACUUGGAACUGAAAAUGAAUGCUGAAAUACUACAUUUUGACCUGCGCACAAAACAGAUGUAGAUGGAAAUGCACGAAUUGGACAGAUCAAUUCUACAUAAGAGGUAAUCUUACAAACUGUUCUGAGGUAAUCUCACUAUCCCAUAAAUAAAAAAAACAAAAUUUAAUGAGGUAAGAACAAGGUGAAUUACGCGUACAAAUGAAAAGCAUCUCAGUUUUUCAUUUUAACAUUCAUGUUUCAAUUAAAUCAGCAUAUAACAGUUCAAGCUACCAACAAAUCAAACUUUUUAGUGAAUUAACACCACAUCACACAUAGAACGACCCAAAAAUUUUGCUUUUUAUAAACCAUUCGUCAAAAACACUAAUCUCAAAGAUAUAAAUAUCCUCAUUUCCAGUGAACAACAGCCAAAUUUACCGAAGCAAUAUUCUACUACAGUAAUUUUUCUAAAUUCAAACGGUAACUGCAUAGUAAAAAACAAAAGCUAACAAAACUUACGAAAAUGUAAGAAAAUUGAUCAAAAUCAAAACCCUACCCGGAGAAAUGAUCAUGGGCGUAGAGAACAUGAACCUCUCCAUUGCAUAGAGCCCUCUUAGCCGCAAAAUAACAAAAGAUAGAGGUUGAAGAAGCUACAGAGAGGGCAUAAUUAGGGUUUUGGGUGGAUUUUUAGGGUUUGUUCCGGUUAGGGUUUUGGCAUGGGAGUUGGGAGAAAGAGAGAACUAUCGGGUUCGGUGCGCACUACACAAUCUUAUUUCGACUUCGCCGGUUUUCGGUAUCGUGGACCCACGAACCUCGCCCCGCUUAUCCGGCUUGUUAAGUGGUCCCACAAGGUCGACUUAUGGGCUCGGUUUGGUUCUCCAGGUGCGAAGUGUCGUAAUAUCCACCGUGCGAGUCCCCAACGAUCGCACCUACAUUAUAUCAUCUAAAAUUAAUUAAUUGAUUAAUUUUUUUUUAAAAAAAUAUAUAUAAUAAAAAUAAUUUUUAUUUUAUAAAUAAUGAUGGAAUGACUAUAUCCGCGCAAUUUGAAAAUACCACAUUAACAAUUUGACUGCUACAUUCUAUAUACUUUUGAAAAAGCUCUAAAUACUAUUAUUGUGGUUCCGCAUUUUUUCACUUUAGCGCUCAGUGAUUUAAAAUAUAUCAUUUCCGUACUUUGUGGUUUUAUUUUUCUUUUUUAUUAUCUUCUUUACUAAUUUUUUUCGUUAAAUCAGUGACAAAGUUAAAACUAAAUGGUGCUAAAAUGAAUAUUCGAUAAAUCAUAGGUGGGGUAUCUGAAGUUUUUUGUAUAUGAUUUAAUGAAUAAUUAACGGAGGGACCGACAAAAAGAAAAAAAAUAAAACCACAAGAUACUAAAUUGAUACACUUUAAAACACAGGAUACUAAAAUAAAGUAAUAUAAAACUAAAGGAAUGAUAUUUAAAAUAGGGAAAACUUCAAAAACCCCCCCUGUAGUUUCGUGCAUUCUCACUUUGCUACCCUGUGGUUUAAAACGUAUCAAUUUGCCCCCCUGUGGUUUCGUUUUUAUCUUUUUGUUAUCAAUUUUAUUAUUAUUUUUUAAAUCAGUGACAAAGUUAAAAUUAAAGAAUACUAAAGUGACUAUUCGAUAAAUAUAGAUGGUUAUCUGAAGUUUUUUGUAUAUAAUUUAACGAAAUAUUAACGAAAAAGCUUCCGAAAAGAUAAAAAUGAAACCACAGGGGGGUAAAUUGAUACGUUUUAAACCACAGGAUAGCAAAGUGAGAAUGCACGAAACCACAGGGGGGGUUUUUGAAGUUUUCCCUUUAAAAUAUAUCCUAUAUUUUUUCUCAGAAUAGAGGCCGGCCCGAUGCCCGGCUUAGCACAACUUCAAAUCUAGGCCGUGUUUUGCUGGGCAGAAUUUCUUUAACCUUCAGUCCAACACACCCCCGACAUGAACAAUACGAGUGCCGUACCGGGCAGGGUCUUAUGCCGACCGAUUGUACUUUUAUUUUUUUUUUCAAAAAUUUCAAAAUUUUAAAAUAUGAAAAAUUAAGAUAUCGUUCUAAUAAUCAAAUUUUGUCUAAUUGUCCGAACUAUUUUGGUCUUAAAUUUUAUUUAUUUUUAUUUUUAUUUUUAUUUUUAUUUUGGAGUGAGGAGGGUUUGGGCUGGGAAGUUGGACUUAAUUUCCCGCCCCCCUUCCCCUAUUGGGACUUCAUCUCUGAAUCUGCAACUCCAACUAUUACCUCUCAAUGAUGUGGUUAACUUUCAAAAUCUAACCGACCGUCCCUAGAGUAAGUGGCAAAGGGCUUGGUGGUUGGUACCCGAGACCCAAAUUCGAAUCCUAGUUGAUUCACAUUUUCAGUUAAGUUUAUUUCUAAAUGAAAUAAACGAAACGGAUAGCGUGCUACCUAUCUCUCAAAAAAUAAAAAUAAAAAUAAUAAAAAAAAAAACUUCCAAGAUCUAAGAUUUUGUUCUUUCUGAUUGCUGGGAGUAUUUUGUGCCAAUUUUUUUUCUUUUCUAUUCUUCUUUUUUUUUCAUUUUGCAUUUGGCCUGGAAAGUUGGACUGCUCCCACUAGGGGUGGAAACGAGUCGAGCUCGAGCGAGCUUAUCUCGGCUCAAAUUCGGCUUGAAAUUAAUUUCGAGCUUAAAUUUAAGCUCAAGCUUGGAUUGAAAUUAAUUCGAGCCGAGCUCGAGCGAGCCUAAUUUCGAGUCGAGCGAGCUCGAGCCCUAAACGAGCCGCUUGAAAUUCUCAACAUCAUACGAUCAAUAGUUUAAUUUGUAUAGAACAUUAUCUGUAAUUUGAUAUAAAAAUAUAUCUAAUAGCUCAAAGUACAAAAUGUUAUAUAAAAUAUAGUAUUAUAAUAUGAAAAAAAUAAUUUAUGAGUUGAAUAUCUAAUCUUUUCAGCCUCACAUGUCUUUUUUUCCGUCUUCAAUCUCCAUAUUAUUCAUUUUUAUUUAUGCAGUCAAAAAUAAAUAAAUUAUAUAGAUAAAUAUUUGAUUAAACUAUCCAAUCAUGUAUAACAAAAAUUAAAAUUUUAUAUGAAUAAUAAUUUUUUACUUUAAAAAUAUUCUGUAUAUUUUCUCAAGCAUACAAUUAAUAGCAAGGUAGGCAAUGACAGACAUAUGCUGUUACUUGGUAAUUUGGAGGGCUUCCGGCUUAGCCGCUUAGGGUGAGAGACAGAAAAAGAGAAAGAGAGAAACAUAUUGAAAAUUUAGAGUUCUGUGAAAGAAAGAAAGAAGGAAAAAUGUAUAAAUUUAGUAAAAUUUUGCUCUUUUAUUUGUCUAUUGGGUUUGUUUUUAUGGGGCAACAACAUUAGCCCAAUUUUAACUAAACUCAGAUUAUUCACUCAACCUAUAUAUAAAUAAAAUAUAUUAUAUUUAUAUAUUUUUUAAUAUAUAUAUAUAUAUAUAUAUAUAUAUAUAUAUAUUUUUUAAUAUUAUAUAAUAUAUAUAUUAUAUAUAUAUAUAUAUAUAUAUAUAUAUAUUAUAUAUAUAUAUAUAUAUAUAAUAUAGAUUGAGCUCCUAUGCUUUUUAAAGUACCAAGUUAUUGGUGCUUGUAAGUUUUUAGCCCUUGGAUUAAGGGAUAUGCGGUUAAGAUGAUGUGGGCCCCUAGGGUUAAGUGGGUUUGGUUUGAAUAGUAUAAUCUAACGGUGGAAAAUGAUCAAAGGCGUAAAUCUAACGGUAAAAAAUUUACAAGCACAAAUACUGUACUUUUACAAGCACCAUUAGCCGGACUCUAUAUAUAUAUAUAUAUAUAGUGUGAACUACUAUGCUAUCGAAAAUUAGAGGAUUGGUGUUUCGAAUUUUUGACCUUUGAUUAAGAAUUGUAUGGUUGAGAUGAUUGCGAUCCUCUCUAGGAUUAAAUAAUAUCCUUAGAAUUGAGUGGUCCCUACAAGAUAAUAAAGUAUUAAUUCAAAGAAAUGAUUAAAGGAGUUGAUCUAAGAAUCAAAAAAUCGAAAGCACCAUAUUAUCUAUACUUUCGAUAGCAUAGUAGCUCUACUAUAUAUAUAUUAUAUAUAAUAUUCGAGCUUUUCGAGCUUUUCGAGCCUAAUUCGAACGAGCGAGUAAUACUCAAGCUCGGCUUGAAAUGAAUUUCGAGCCUUUUUUUGUUCAAGCUCGGCUCAUUUAUUUCGAGUCGAGCUCGAGCGAGCCAAAUAUCGAGCUCGAAGCGAGUCGAACGCGAGCUGGCUUGCUCAUUUGCCAGCCCUAGCUCCACCCCCUUCCUCUACUGGACUUCGUCUCUUAAUAAACCUGGUCCUAGCCAUGAUGAAGUCCUAAUUGGGUUUUCAACAUUCAAGACCUAAGAUUUAUUUUAUUUUAUUUUUAAAAUCUUUUAACUUUUCUAAUUUACUUAUAAAAUUCUUCAUAUGCGAAAUUUGAAAUGUGAAUUUUUAAAUUUUAAAUUUUAAAAUUUCAAAUGAAAUGAAUAAUUGAAAAUUUGAAGAAAUAGAAAAAUCUAAAUUUAAUUUUUAAAAUUUUAAAUUUAAAAUUUUGAAAUCAAAAAUUUAAAAUUUAAAAUUUAAAAUUUAAAAUUUGAACUAUGAGAUUUGAGAUUUAAAUUUCAAAUUUAAAAUUUGAAAUUUCAAAUUUUAAAUUUUAAAUUUUAAAUUUUAAAUUUGAAGAAUAAAAUUUAAAAUUUAAAGUUUGAAAUUUGAAAUUUAAAAGUUGAAAUUUAAAAUUUAAAAUUUAUAAAAUUUAAAAUUUGAAAUUUGAAAUUUGAAAUUUGAAAAUUAAAAUUUAAAAUUUAAAAUAUGAAUUUUGAAUUUUGAAAAUUAAAAUUUAAAAUAAAUUUUGAAUUUUGAAUUUUGAAAAUUAAAUUUUAAAAUGAAAUUUGAAUUUUGAAAUUUGAAAAUUGAAAAUUAAAAUUUGAAAUUAUUAAAUUAGAAAAUUUAAAAUAUUUGAAAACCAAAAUUUAAAUAAAAUUUGAAAUUAUAAAAUUAGAAAAUUUGAAAUUUAAAAUUUGACAUUUAUGUUUUGAAAUUAUGAAAUUAAAAUUUUUUAUUUUUAAAAUUUGAAAUUCAAAAUUUAAAAUUGGAAAUUAAAAUUUGAAUAUAAAUUUAAACUACAAAAUUUAAAAUUUAAAAUUUAUAAUCUAGGUUGAAAUUUAAAAUUUUAUGUUGAAAUUUGAAAUUUAGAACUUUAUACAUUUUGGGAUAAGGGAACCCAAGAAUAGUGUAAUUCUUUCCUUUGAUUAUAAUGGAUUAUAAUUUUACUCCAAUUUUUAGAGUAUAGUUUAACUAUACUCCAAAAAUUAUGUUUUUUUUUUUUUUCCCCAAACGCUUCGCAGGAUAAUUUUUCUACUAGUAUAGCAUAGUUUAACUAUACGCGUUUUCAGGGGAUCCAAACGGAGUUAUUAUCAAUUAUAAAAAAAAUUAUAUCCAUCUUUAUACGUAAGUUUUUGAAAAAACCUAACCGCCUUCUCUUUCUUCCUUUCCCUCUUUCUCUCCUUAAGCAGAGUUAUAAAGAAAAAAAAAUUCAUUAGCAGAAAGAUAUUCUCUGCAAGGAAGCUAGCAUCUCUGUGAGGAUUUUGAUCAGAUCAGCAACCUUAUGUGGAUAAUUGUAGAGGCAGGAUGUGUGUACGAUUUUAAAAGAAUUCAAUUCUACGAUUAUCACAAUGCGAGGUAGAUCUACCUCCGCAAAGAUGAAGAUUAGAUCUUUCUUUCCUUCUUUUUUAAUCUUAAAUAUGUGAGGGAUUCUAUUUCGCUUGUUUCCGAGAUCGGAUUUUGAUUUUUAAAAUUAUGUUUUGUUUGCUUUUCUUUUUCCGCAAGGUUUUUAUCAUAUGGAGAAACUAAUAUUGAGAAUACUCCAAAUUGGUAAGAAUUUUAGUUAUUGUGGAAAACUCCAAGCCCAUGUAUGGCAAAAUAUGUAUUUGUAAUAUCGAGCUAUAUAGGGAUAAAGUCUUGAAGUUUUGAGAUCGGACGGUUAGGUAUGACAAGUAGUAUAUUGAGUAUUUGGAAUUCUAAAGAGUUUGCGAUGUUCUUGUUUUUUUCCUCAGGACCAAGUGAAGAUCAAGAAGCUGACGACGCACGGUAGAAGUCGAGUUUGUGGUUCAAAAUAGAUACUCAGUCAGAAAUAAUCUUGCUAGAUCUAUCAUUUGGUUCGCCCUUUCUUAUCCUUUUCUUUUAUACACUAUAAAAAAAACAAUGCAAGAAUAUACAAAAAUAUGCUGCACGUAUGCAUUGAUAUCUUCACAUAAAUGAUGAUGACAGAUUGUUAUUUUCUAUAGAAAAUUUUUUAUAUACAACGACAUACACCGUAUAGAAUAAGCAAAGGAUAAAGUACGUAGGGUGCAUGUUGCCCUACUUAACAAUUGAAAUUUCUUUUUAUGUCUAUGCAUAUAUCAUAAUCAUAUUUUUGCCCGAAAAUAUGUUUAUGAUUAUUUUGUUUAAUUUUCUUAAUUUAUGAAUCAAUUAAGCUAAAUGAAAUGAUAGCACAAGCUGCUCAAUAUAGUGCUACAUAGAAGAUACAUUAAUAAACGUACUGGACUAGAAGAGUCAAUCGAUAUCACAUGAAAAUAAAAAAUAUUUUAGUAAAUAGAUUUAAUAUAAUUAUUUUAUAUUGAAAUAAUAUUUUAGUAAAUAGAUUUAAAAAAUCGUGGUAAUAUAAAAACUUUUAAUAAUUAUAUAUUAUUAUUUCUGUAUCAAAUGACUGUUGGGUGAGUAGAGACCUUUCGUCUCAUCAAAUGUGGAAACAUGUCCACACAAAGACUUUUAAGUCGUCUCAUCUUCUUCCACAGUAUAUGAUGAAGAUAAAAAUGCAUGAAGACCCCCUCACUUAUAGCCUAUUAGGAAAUACUCUCUCAACUUUCUUCUUUUUUUCUUUUUUUCUUUUUUUUUCUGAAUUGAUAUUGUCCCAUUUUUAAACUUUUUUUUAUACUUAACUGAUAUUCUCCCAACUUUAUACUUAACUGAUUUUAGCAAUUACAUUAAGAAUUUUAUCGAAAUCAUGAGUAAUUUUAUCAAAUUCAAUAGGUUACUUUUUUCUAAAUAGAACUAGAAAAACUAAAAUAGUAGCUAAUAUUAUAAAUUUCUUUUAAAAAAUCAAAUUCACUAGCUAACAUGAAAGAGUAAAAUAAAAUUAACGAGAAAGUUAAGAAGUCUCAAUCAAAUAAUUGGAAUUGACAUGCACCAGUGCAUACGUAAACUUGAUGCACCACACAUAAUAUGUGAUUAUCCAUGUCUUAAAGUCGAAAUUUAAUUUAAUUUCUUGAUGUGAUCUAAAAUACUUAAAAAGCUUAUGUAUCAAAAAUUGUUCAUUAUAAAUAUAUUUUUUUAGAUAAAAAUAUGAAUUAAUUAGGAUUCGAACUUGAAACCUAGGAUACAAAUUACUAGAUUCUUUGUCAUUUGCGCUAGGGACAGUCAAUUAUUAUAAAAAUCUUUAUUUAUGCCUAAAGUACGUAGUUAAAUAAGUAGAGAAUAUAUAUGAAGAGAAUCAUUACGUAAUUUAGAAAAAAAUAUUUGUUUUAAAUAAAUAGAGAAUAUGAAGAUAAUCGUUAUGUAAUUUAUAAAUAUUUGUUCAAAAUUUAUUAUUUGUUAUAUGUAUUUUAUUUCUUUUCGAAGGUGAUAAGUAAUUAAGUUUCUUAGAUAUUUUUAGAGACCUCUAUUAUUGAGCUUUAGCUAUGCAGUGUAUGAGAAGUACUUAACAAUGAGAAAUGUCACUUGUACACAAAAAUUGGGUGUAAAGAUUACGCCAACUUAUUCAAGGAUUUACAAAUUUUGAAUUUUUAAUAUUAAAAAGAUUGUAAUGUGAUAAAAUCAGUGUGAAAAAAUUAGUUUUUAAAUGGAGAGGAUGUAAAAUUUAUAGGUAAUUAAAAAUGUACGUAACUUGCAUGAACUAUGGACCAUUUUAAUUUAACUAUUAAAUCUUUUAAAAUUUUAAUUAAUUUUACUACUCAACCUUUAAAUUUAUUUAAUUUCAGUCAGUUAGCGACAAUUUAACUUUAAAAUUUAAAUGCACUCUUUAUCUUUAUAGAUUUUUUAAUUAGUAUAUUUCGUAUAAUUCUCAUAACUAUAAAUUUAUUAAAAUAAGUAAUAAAUUUAAAAUUUGAAAUCAAAAUGUCAUUAACUAACUGAAAUUAAAUAAAUUGAAAAGUUGGGUAGUAAAGUAAAAAUUUUGAAAGAUUAGUUAUUAAAAUCAAAAUGGUCCAUAACUAAGAUAAUUUUUUUAUAUUUCACCAAAUUUACGCUCAGUUGGGUGUAGAAAUUAGUAUUGCUUCUUAAUAAUAUCUCUUUUGUUUGAACUCAAGAAAUAAUUUUUUGGUAUUUAUAUACACCUAAAAGGCACAAAAAAAAAAAAAAAAAAAAAAAAAAAAAAAAAAAACUAUGGCGCCUAAAGAAAACUCUAUCCCCACGGGAAUAGUUACUCUGUGGGGACUACUUGUGCUCCAGCUCCUGGCAUUGCAGCUCACAUCCGNUAACUAAGAUAAUUUUUUUAUAUUUCACCAAAUUUACGCUCAGUUGGGUGUAGAAAUUAGUAUUGCUUCUUAAUAAUAUCUCUUUUGUUUGAACUCAAAAAAAAAAAAAAAAAAAAAAAAAAAAAAAAAAAAAAAAAAGUAGGUUGUUGAAUGAGUCAAACUAGGGCCCCCUUUCCUCUAUAUUAAAGACCACGGGUAGAGUGCACGCCCUCAAACAAGCUAAAUCAAAGGGGGAAAAAAAAAAAAGAAAAAAAGAAAAAGCAAACUAAAACUAUGGCGCCUAAAGAAAACUCUAUCCCCACGGGAAUAGUUACUCUGUGGGGACUACUUGUGCUCCAGCUCCUGGCAUUGCAGCUCACAUCUGCAUCAGUCGCAUUGCCGGGGUGCCCGCAACGAUGCGGCGGCGUCGAGAUCCCCUAUCCGUUCGGCAUCGGCCGGGCCUGCUCGAUGGAGGGUUUCACACUCAACUGCACCUUCAGCAACAGCAACCACAAGCCCUUCCUGAGCAACAUCGAAUUCUUGAACAUUUCCUUAUCGUCGGGCCUCGCCCGCAUUGCCGGCCAUGUGUCGAGCCAAUGCUACAAUGCCACGAACGGCAACGUGACAUACAAGGACUGGCAAAUGAAACUUAGGGGGUCACCGUACCGGUUCUCCAGUACCCUCAACAAGUUUACGACCAUCGGCUGCAUGACGAUGGCCUUUCUCAGAGUGAGCGAGAUGGCGAAUAGCUCCGCAAAUAGCACGGCGAAUAGCUAUUUGUCAGGGUGCGUAUCGAUGUGCAGCAGCAGGGAGGACUUGAGCAACGGCUCGUGCACGGGCAUCGGAUGCUGUCAGACUGCCAUCCCGAAGGGGAUGGUGUACUACCGAGUGCGGUUUGCUGAAAACUUCAACAGCUCCACCACGUACAAUUUCAGCCAGUGCGGCUAUGCUGCACUGGUGGAGGAAGGCACCUUCAAUUUCAGCACCUCCUACAUCACGACCAGUGAGCUUUACGGAACAAGGCUGCCGUUGGUAGUCGAUUGGGCUGUAAGAAACAAGAAUUGCUCCGAAGCCCGGCAAAACAUGACUUCCUACGCAUGCAAAAGCGAGCACAGCACGUGCGUAGGCUCCGCGAACGGGCCUGGCUAUCUCUGUAAUUGCUCCGAGGGUUAUCAAGGCAACCCUUAUCUACCCCACGGGUGCCAAGGUUUGCACAUCUCUCUCUCUCUCGUUAGAAACAUCUUUCUUUAUUUUGUGAUGCGUGAGAAAGUUUUUCCUCGGAUAGUUAAGAGCAUAUAUAAGAUAUAUAAAUUAAAUUUUAAAUGUAUAAAGAAAAUGUUAUUUUUUAUGAAUACAUAAUUAUUAUUAUUAUAGCGAUUCCAUAGCCUCACAUCAGUUAAGAAAGGGGUAUAUAUGUAAAUUAAAAUAAAUGGAUGAAAAAUUCUAAUAAUAAUAAUUAUUAUUAUAUUUAAAUAUUUUUGCAGUGGUACAUAAGUGGUUUUAGAUUUGGUAUAUUUAAUUAUUAGUAUUAGAGCCGAAUACAUGUUCCUAAAAUGGUAGGGCCUCCAAAAAAGAGAGGGAUUUUGUGAUGAGGAAGUGAACCAAGCAUGUAUGUAAAAAAUAUAUAUAUACACAAAAAGGAAUAGGUUUUUUUUUUUUUUAAUACAAAAUAGCUUAAUUAAUCUUUCUUAAAAAACAAUAGUAGUCCCUCUUUGAAAUAUAUUUGAAAAGUUGAACUCAAAUCAAAUUGCACACGACAGUUAAAUCUCUGGUUAAACUUCCAAUUUGAGACUUGGAUUAAUUCCUUGAACAGUUUGUGACGGAAUGGUAUAAUCGACAAGUAAAUUAAGUUGAUUUUUUUUGGGGGGGAUUUUGUGAUACAUAUGGGGAACAGAUAUUGAUGAGUGUGCAAGCAAGGAUGUACCACCGUGCUCUGAGUCUGAGGUUUGUUACAAUACACAAGGAAGUUAUCGGUGUUUAUGCCCAAACGGUACACAUGGCGAACAUUACAAUGGAACUUGCUACCAAAGCUACCAGAGUUACCAGAGCCAGAAACUUCCACUAGCAGUGAAACUAGUUACAGGUGAGCUCUUCAAACUUUUCUUCAUCUUCUUCUUCUUCUCCGUUUUUUUAUUUUUAUUUUUUCCUCGUCUUUUGAAGCGUGUUAGGCUUAGUACCUAACAGUUUUUUGAAUAAAAAAUAUAUAAAAUUUAUCUCAAUUACCGUGCACCCUUUUACAUCCAACUAUCUGAUCUUUAAAAAUUUUGAAUUAUUAUCUGACUUUUUAAUUUAUUUAAUUUGAGUUACUUCAAAAUUUGAAGUCAUUGUUUAUUUUUACAGAUUUAAUUAGCAUAGUUUAUACGAUUUGUAUAACUAUAAAUUUAUUAUAGUUAAUAAUUAUCUUAAAUUUUGAAUUUGAAGAAACAUCACUUAAAAAAAUCAAAUAUACUGAAAUAUAGGAUAAUAAAAUUAAAAGUUUGAAUGAUUAGAUAUUUGGAUCAAAAUAAUUUACAGUUCAAAAUAAUUUUGACAUAUUUUACCAAUAUAAUAUAACAAUAUAUCUAUACUAUAUAUAAAAGCACGUAUAUUCAAAUUUGGGCAUGUCGACAGACCCAUUUUUCGGCGGAAAAACUAGCGCCCAUUUUCCUCUUUCCGUCCGAAAAAUUUUAAAUAUAAGAAUAAAAAUAGAAAUAGAAACGACAAUGAAUACGUAAGUUCUCUAUAACAGAUUAGUGAUGUGAAAAUCCUAUAAAAAAGUAAGUUUUCUAUAACAGAUUACGGGUGUGAAAAUCCUAUAAAAAAUAUUUUCCUAUUUUAUUUUAAAAUAUUUUUUUAGAUAUUAUCUAUUUAAUUUCAAAAUAUAUUUUCUUUUUAAGAUAACGGAUUUAUUUUUCUAUUUAAUUUCAAAAUUUUAUUUCCUAACAGAUUUUAUUUUUCUAUUUAAUUUCAAAAGUAAUUUUUGCAUUAGAGAUUAUUGUUAAUUAUUUAUCAUUUAAAGCAUAUCUUUCUUAAUAGCGUGAUUUAUUAUUUUAAAUUUUUUAGAUACAUAUUUGGCAAUCAUAUAAAAUAUGGCCUAAAAUUAAAAAAUAAUUUAAAAAAAUUAUAACUUUUUCUAAUAAUUAUUAUGUGCAUUUGCACGUACAUUUUACUAGUAUAUAUAUAUAUANNNNNNNNNNNNNNNNNNNNNNNNNNNNNNNNNNNNNNNNNNNNNNNNNNNNNNNNNNNNNNNNNNNNNNNNNNNNNNNNNNNNNNNNNNNNNNNNNNNNNNNNNNNNNNNNNNNNNNNNNNNNNNNNNNNNNNNNNNNNNNNNNNNNNNNNNNNNNNNNNNNNNNNNNNNNNNNNNNNNNNNNNNNNNNNNNNNNNNNNNNNNNNNNNNNNNNNNNNNNNNNNNNNNNNNNNNNNNNNNNNNNNNNNNNNNNNNNNNNNNNNNNNNNNNNNNNNNNNNNNNNNNNNNNNNNNNNNNNNNNNNNNNNNNNNNNNNNNNNNNNNNNNNNNNNNNNNNNNNNNNNNNNNNNNNNNNNNNNNNNNNNNNNNNNNNNNNNNNNNNNNNNNNNNNNNNNNNNNNNNNNNNNNNNNNNNNNNNNNNNNNNNNNNNNNNNNNNNNNNNNNNNNNNNNNNNNNNNNNNNNNNNNNNNNNNNNNNNNNNNNNNNNNNNNNNNNNNNNNNNNNNNNNNNNNNNNNNNNNNNNNNNNNNNNNNNNNNNNNNNNNNNNNNNNNNNNNNNNNNNNNNNNNNNNNNNNNNNNNNNNNNNNNNNNNNNNNNNNNNNNNNNNNNNNNNNNNNNNNNNNNNNNNNNNNNNNNNNNNNNNNNNNNNNNNNNNNNNNNNNNNNNNNNNNNNNNNNNNNNNNNNNNNNNNNNNNNNNNNNNNNNNNNNNNNNNNNNNNNNNNNNNNNNNNNNNNNNNNNNNNNNNNNNNNNNNNNNNNNNNNNNNNNNNNNNNNNNNNNNNNNNNNNNNNNNNNNNNNNNNNNNNNNNNNNNNNNNNNNNNNNNNNNNNNNNNNNNNNNNNNNNNNNNNNNNNNNNNNNNNNNNNNNNNNNNNNNNNNNNNNNNNNNNNNNNNNNNNNNNNNNNNNNNNNNNNNNNNNNNNNNNNNNNNNNNNNNNNNNNNNNNNNNNNNNNNNNNNNNNNNNNNNNNNNNNNNNNNNNNNNNNNNNNNNNNNNNNNNNNNNNNNNNNNNNNNNNNNNNNNNNNNNNNNNNNNNNNNNNNNNNNNNNNNNNNNNNNNNNNNNNNNNNNNNNNNNNNNNNNNNNNNNNNNNNNNNNNNNNNNNNNNNNNNNNNNNNNNNNNNNNNNNNNNNNNNNNNNNNNNNNNNNNNNNNNNNNNNNNNNNNNNNNNNNNNNNNNNNNNNNNNNNNNNNNNNNNNNNNNNNNNNNNNNNNNNNNNNNNNNNNNNNNNNNNNNNNNNNNNNNNNNNNNNNNNNNNNNNNNNNNNNNNNNNNNNNNNNNNNNNNNNNNNNNNNNNCCUUUUUUUUACUAUAUUAUUUAUUUUUUAUUAUUAUCAGGAACUUAUUUUUCUAUAUUUUAUGGUGGAACGUUACUCUCAAAUUAGGUAGCCUGAUGGUGUCACCGUUCGCAGCAUUAAUAGACGCUAUAGUUCUUUGAGGUUUCAUAGUCCUAUACUUAUACGUCUCCUUCUCCUCCUCCUCCUCCUCGAUCCCAAACAAGGGGCUAGAGUGGCUAUGUUUGGGGUUUUUCCCGCUAGAGUUAAUCCCGGUAGCCUCCUCCCGUGCAUGAGCUUGAGCAGGAGGGUCUCCACCCGCUUCUUGAACUGUCCCGAUAGGACCGGCAGCUAAGCCUAGUCCUUGAGCUGGAACUUCCCCUCUAACCGCGAUUACGCGAAGGGGAAGGUGUGCGGCUCCAUGACGAACUAGCAGGGGAGGUAGGGCGGGUCUAGGUCUAGGCCGCGGAAGCGGUGCACCAUGUGGGACUCGUUUUUUAUUUUACUAGAAUAGAUUAUAUUUUGGUUCUCAAUCUAUAAAACGUGUGACAUUUGGUUCUACUAUUUUGAAUUCUUCGGUUAACUUCAUCAUAAUAGCAAGGCACUUCUACUUAUUCAUCAACCAAGUGAACCAUGUGUAGAAUAAUCAGUGGUUCAAUCACUGUUAGCAACCAGAUUGUUGGUUCAUUCCAUUGGUUCUGAUCUACACUUACAAAAUUAAAGUACCGUUUAUUGAUUCCAUUGGUUAUGAGUAUUUUAGAGCUUCUUGAUUCUUUGGAGCAUCGGAAUCAUGAUUUUGCGAAUGACGCUUCAAGCUAUAUGAAGCACAGAUUGUUUAGGUAUUUGGCCUGGUAUCUAAGUACUUACAGUGGUCUUUUUGAUAUGAUUUUGCAUAUGUUAUUUUACUAGUUUAUAACUAUAUAAAGAAGCUUCUACUCUAAUUGUUCUCAUCUUACAUCUCUAUGAAUCUCUCAUAUCAUUCUCUUUGCUGUGGAUUGAUCAACCUCUUUCUUCGAUUAAUUGGUGAGUUUGGCAUGGAAUUUUGGUAACUAAUAGUUUAAUGUAGUUGGAACAUGCUUUUGCUUGAAGUUUUUGAUGCUUGUGGUUUUUUGGUUGUAUGAGUGAGUCUAAAGACUACUUUAGGUGAUGUUUUUUGCAAGUGAAUGUGAAUGUUGAGAAUUGGUUGAUUUGAUUCUCUUAAUGUCACGAGUCUCUUGGUCACUACUUUUGCUGAGUAAAGUAUUGCUGGUGUGUUAAGUUCUGGACUUUGUGCUUCCAAAAUAAUAAAUUUAUCACUAGAUGAGUCACCCUAUGUUAUGACUUGAGAAGUCAAGUGUCAGAUUCUUGUCUAGUCAUCAAUGUAGCAUCUUGCGGAUUCCAUACACCACAGCCGCUAGUAUAUUGUACUUAAUGUGGCUUCCUAAAUGAAUAGUGGCAGUGACUAGUGCUUAUUAUGACUUGAGAUGUCAAGUGUGAUAUCCUUGUAUAGUCAUCAAUGUAGCAUUUUGAGGAUUUCAUACAUCGUAGCUGGUGAUAUAGUUUCUUCACAUAGAAAGCUUUCUAUAUGAAUAGUUGCAAAUUUUAUUAGCGUAACUGGUUUAGCUGUUACAUCAAAGGUAAAUUACAUCUUUAUUGAUAUGCCCCUUGCCUAGAAGGUACUUCACACAGAUAAAUUGUUCUCCUCUUUCUUUCCGCUUAGUUUAAAUAUCUCUCUUAUGUGUAGGAUAUUUGUGGACCUUCCUAACGUUGGGAACUGAACGAAAAUCUUAAAGAUUAUUUGUAAUAUGUCGAAACCUGACUACAUUGCUAAUCUUGAUCAAAAUGACCAAGAUGAUGCAAAAAUGGAAAUUAAAUGCUUCCAAAUUAAAUUUGUAGCUUGGGUAUAGAGUUUAGCAUGUUUUGGAAGUGUUUGGAUGAAUUCGGAGUGAGCUGGAUGUGAGAAACGAGUUGUCAAAGCUGCUGCUGCCAGCAGGGACUGAAUUGCGAACCUGUAGGGACUGAAAUGUAAACUGCAGGAUUGUAAUGCACUUUUGCUGAAUUGAAGGGUUAAAGAGCAAUUGCUUGUUCUUACCACUUAACCCCAGCCCCCUGGAAAAUGUCCACGUACCCAGCACCCCUCUCCAAUGCUUCUUUUCAUUUUUUUUCUCCUUUCUUUCUUUCUCAGCCUUUGGAGCAGAGAAGUGAAGAAAAGCUUGUGAAGUUGAGUUUUCUUGCUGUUGGAGCUAAGAAGAAACUCUGUGGGACUGAAAAGAAGGCUUUUGGAGCUGAGAAAUCCCUUGGGGAAGCUUUAAAUCCAGGUAAGCUUGAUGCCUAAUUCCCUGGUUGAGUAGUAUUAGUGAUUGUGAAGCUGAUUUCCAAAGUGAUCUUGGCAGACUUGGGUUUUGGACUUGAUAGGAGCUGCCGAAGUGGGAAACCAGCUGAGGAAGCUUAGAGUUCGAGGUAGAAGACUUGCUUCUCAGCUAGGACAAGGGUAAUUGGUUCAUAGAAGCCUCUAAAUGGUUAAAAUUGAUGUAUGUAUGCAGAAAUUCAAGUAGAAGCUGUUGGUGGGCUGCCUUGUGGAGGUUUUGGGCGCCCAGAUUGAGAGAGGACCUGAGGGAGCUUCUUUGGUGUUUCGAAUUUCAAAAAAUCUAGUGGAGCCUUGAAGCUAGGUAAAAUGGAUAAUUAUUCCUUGGUUUAAGUGAUAUGAAUUACUCAAAAAUGGAAUUGUAAAUAUUAGAAUCACUUACUUUAACCUUAUAUAAAGGGCUGAGAGGGGAAAUGUUGAAGUGCUGAAAUUACAACUUUGGUGGAGCUUCUUUUGGUGUUCUAAGCUGAAAGGAAGCUUUAGAAAGCUGAGAGCAACUUAGUGAAGCUUCUAAUUCAGGUAAGAAUAGUGUUUAUCCCUGAAUUGAGUAGUGUUGGGUGUUAUAAAGAUGAUUCCUAAGUGAGCUGUGAAGCAAACAAAUGCAGAAUUUCAGCAUGAACUGAAUUUCAGCAAAUGCAGAAUUUCAGCAUUAGAAAUACUUGCUAUUGGAGUUGAGAAUAAAUUGAUUGGGCAGCAAAUUAAGUUACAUAUAAUUAUGUUAUGAUUAGAAGUUGGUUAAUUAUAACAAAGGGAUGUUAAUUAGGAGUUCAAUGGGUAUUUGAGCUAAUGAAAAACUCAAAUCUGCAUUGGUGAAUUCUUAGUUUGAACCCACUAGAACUAGCUGAUGCUAUGUGUAGAGGUAUAUAUGCAUAGUGUUAAAAGGAAAAACUGAAUUAAGCUAGUUUUCAAUUCUGAAUUGGAAUGAGGGUAAUUGCUGUAGAGACAUGGAAUUAGAGAAGUACUAAAGUCUCUACUUGCUAUAAACCUAUAGAAUUAACUAUAGGUAAGUAUAUAUUGAUACUAUGUAGACAAAUGGGGGUUGAAAUGCAAAGUUGUAGGAAUUAGAAUAUAACUCAAGUUUAAUCUCUUUUAUUCUUCUAUGAAUGAAGGUUAAACAUGCUCGGGAGUUUGAGUUGACAUUCUGACGGACCUACGACGCGCUAUUUAAGAAACGCUUCGUUCUAGCUGUUUUGGCAUUGAGUCAUGGGGGCUAGGUGUUUACAUGUUUUGAGACGUUAGCUUUGACUUUUCGGCAUCCCUAUGAGGUGGGUGGUGCUAUCCGAAAUCUUCGAAUCUCUCUUUAUAUCUAUGUGACCUUAUUGAGCAUACAUAUAUAUAUGAAUUGUAUUAUACUCAUGCAUUAUAGGGAAAAUGACAUUAUGUGAUUAUGAAUUAAGCAUGUUCAAUAUAGAGAACUUGUGGAAAAUAGAUUGUGAACAUAGUAAACCCUAUGAAUGCGUGGAUUAUAACAAUAGUGAAUCUGGUAACAUCAUGACUAGAGAAUUGGUUAGCAUUGAGAUUGGACUUGUAAAACUAGUAUAAAGAGCUAGUUAGAGUUAAAGUGUGGCAUUGUCAUUUGUUAAAUCCUUUAAGUAAGGAUUAGAUCAUACUCACAUUAUGUCUUUCUAUUCUAUUUUCUUUCAACUAUCCAGCUCUCUAUGCGAAAAUGUUCUUUGUUUUGCCUUCUGGCAUUUUUUCGUUACCCUAAUAUAACUAUCCUUUGUUGAUCAGGGAGGUGCAACUAGUCCAAGACCUUCUCUAAGGUCCCUAAAAUUGGAUGACUUUAUCCAAGCAAAAGCCAAGGUAUUGAGAGUUUGUAGUCAACUAGUCAUUCAUGAAACUAUUGUGCAAUGAGUUAUUUGUUUUACUAUUUGAAAUUUUUUUGUUCAUGCUUCUUUUUAAUAUUUUUAUAUACUUGUAGGCCAUUUUUGAACUACUAAAUUACUUAUUUGGCAUAGUUUUUUCAUAUUUAUGUGCUAUGCAUUUUUGUAAUAGAGUUUGAUUUUUGUUCUUAUUUUUUGUUUUACAUUAUCAGCUUCUCCACGGAGGAAACCACUUUCUCCUCCACGGAGGCGAUCUCCUCCAAUCCGCAGGGGGGCUGAUUCACCGAGGCGUCGACCAAAGUCUCUCUAUGCUUUUGUUAUAGAGAGAAGUUGUUUAGAGGAUUUAAAUAUGCACAACUCAAAUGGCAGUUCAAUAAGCUACAACCACACUAAUGGUUUGACAUGAAUAGAUACAAAUGCUUAUAUGCCUUACAAUUAGUUUUUUAUUUUAAUCUAACUUCUUUAUUCUCCAUGAUAGGAUGGAAAAGUCUUUCCGUGGCAUGUGUGCUCGUUUGUGUAGAGAUGCGCAUGUGUGUCCUUGUAACCCUUUCCGUGACAUUGAUAUCCUGCUCUUCUUUUUUUACCUUUUGUUUUCUCUACUUUUUAAUAAUGUAUUUUUUCCAUUUCUGGCAAAAACAGUUGUUGCAGUUUCAAAGACUUUUACAACAGCAGAAACAAUGUUGAAUGCUCGAACUCUGAGGCAGUGGAUUGCAGCUUCUCUUGGGGUUAGCAUGAUUUCACCUUUACUUGUUUGUAAAUCUUCUCUCCAUAAUUUCUUCAUCUGAUGCAAAUUUAUUAUGUUUUUUCCGAUUUCAGGCCUCAAGCAGUUGCAAAAUAUAUGGUGCCUGUCAGCACAAAUCUAACGGUACUUCUGGAUUUGCCAUUGCAAUCCAACAUAAUAAUAGACUGCAUUAACUCUUAGUUUAACUUAGGAAUCUGUUAUCUCAUACUUCUUGUUGACAUUUUCAAAGAUUGUGAGAAGUAAAAGCUAUAAAUUCAAGAUAUGCAUCCUUAGGUUAAUAUAUUAUGGAGGCAAUUAUCUGAAACCUGUCCUGCGUACCUUUCCAAUUUUGUUAUUUAUUUGCUUAAAAGUUAACGUUUCAAUACAAUGUCAUUAAUAGAAGUGUAAGGCCUACUGAUUUACUUCACCCUUAUUUCAUUCUAUAUGCUGAUUGCAAAUUAUUUGUUGACAAAGCUUGUAAAGGAGUUUAGGAUCGACCCCGCUAAUGCUUUUGCUUUUUGGGACUGGGUUGGUGGUCGUAAAACAGUUGCAUAAAUAGACUAAUUGUUACGGCUAACCAUGAUGAUUGCUUGAAACUAUUAGCCAUGUUUAUCACUUAGGAGAGAAAAAGCUUCUGUCUAUAAGAUUAUACCUGCAUAAUUACCAUGCUGCCUUUGAUUAAACUUACAAUAUUUAUUUGUAUUCCUAAGUGUCCUGGUUUGAUUAGUUUCAUUCUGGUGCUAUUUAUACUGUGGAAUUUAUUCUUCAGCAUUUCGAUGGCUUCUUUCUAGAGAACUGAUUUUGAUAAUUCAAAUAUUGUCAAAGUCCUUUAUCCUUCAAUUAAUAAGAUAUCUAGAUUAUUUUUUAGUUGUUUAUUGACCUGUUGAAUAUUUCAUAGCCAAUAACUAGAUUAAAUUUCAGGUUGAGGUAUUAUAAUGUCAUCAAAGAGGGUGAUUUGAUUGUUGCUUGAUUAUGUAUACUAUUGCAAACUUUUGAUGCUUUGNNNNNNNNNNNNNNNNNNNNNNNNNNNNNNNNNNNNNNNNNNNNNNNNNNNNNNNNNNNNNNNNNNNNNNNNNNNNNNNNNNNNNNNNNNNNNNNNNNNNCUGGCGCGGUAUUAUGCUACGAUCGAUUGUGGAGCGAUGACGGUGACGUUCCACGAGCCAGACCAGGAGGAGUUCACUUUCAGAGGCUGUAGGAGCACGCUGUUUGCCACCUGGAUAUCUUCGGCGAGGGCUCGACAGAUGCUGAGUAGCGGGUGUAUCGCUUUCCUAGCGACUGUUGUGGAGGUACCUACGGUGGCUCCGGGACUUGAGGACAUCCCAGUAGUCCGCGAGUUUCCGGAUGCAUUUCCCCCUGAGUUGACUACGUUGCCGCCGGAGAGAGAGAUUGAGUUUGUGAUUGAUGUAGUUCCUGGAACUGCACCAAUCUCAAAGGUACCUUAUCGGAUGGCGCCGGCAGAGCUGAGAGAGCUAAAGGCACAGCUUCAGGAUCUGAUGGAUAAAGGGUUUGUGAGACCCAGUGUGUCGCCUUGGGGAGCGCUAGUGUUAUUUGUUAAGAAGAAGGAUGGUUCGCUUAGGUUAUGUGUAGAUUACCGAAAGCUAAAUAAAGUGACCAUCAAGAAUAAGUAUCCCUUGCCACGCAUUGAUGAUUUGUUUGAUCAGCUGCAUGGAUCUUAUGUCUUCUCAAAGAUUGAUCUCCAGUCAGGUUACCACCAGUUGAGGGUGAGGGCCGAGGAUGUUCCCAAGACGGCUUUUCGGACUCGGUACGGGCACACGGGUGAUGGCUUUUGGUUGGCACGAAUGGCCCCUACCGCUUCUGGAUUUGAUGAUGAGGUGUUCAGCGUUCUUGGAUAGGUUUGUUCGUUUUCAUCGCAUGAUUAUUCCUGAUAUACUCCCGGUAGUGAUGCUGUGUGGAGCCACUAUGGUGAGUUGUGGGUAAGUCUGCGAAGAAUUGUAUGUAGUUAAAGAGUGCGAGUUCUGCUACGGACUGUUUGUUUCUUUUUUUAGCAUGUGGUCGAUUUCAGCUGGGCGUACCCAGUGGACCCGAAGAAGAUUUGAUGGCGAUUCCCGGAUUCGGCCUAGACGACGACAGGUGAGCUUUUGACCUGGUACGGAGCUCUCCUGGGACUGGCGAACGAUUAUUCCGCUCGGUUCUUUGUGAGGGCUUUGCGAAGCUUUCCACACCCCUACGACGCUACCGAGGCGAUUCGUUUUGCUUUUGGAGGCCGACCUGGGUCAUUAUUGAGGGAUUUGCGACGUUUGGGAGACUGGAGGGUUUGACGUCUGGUGUGUUCGGCUAUCUUCCUCCUCGUGAACUAUUGAGGAUGGAUUCGUGCGAGACGCCUCUAUUCAGUGAAGGUGCAUUCGCACAGUGCGGAUUUUGGGUUGUGUGGUGUCACCCAGCAUUAUGGAUUGCUUAUGCUUUGUUUUUUCGCGGCCAGGUUAAAGGAUUAAUGAGAAAGAAUUACCCUCACGCGACUGACCUUGGAGCUUGGGACCGCGGGUGGCUUUUUUUCUUUGCCAAGCUCUUUCGGCCAUUACUUGGGUACGUGCGAGCAUGUGCGACGGGUAUUCAAACCGAUAUAAAAGUCUCACAGUAUUCUGUUACACAGGAGGGAGCUCGGAACCUGGACUGCCAGGCCUGACGGUGGGAUUGGGAGUUACUGAAAGAUCCAUGCCAUUAGUCCUGAUUCGUAUUUCAUCCCGGGCUAGGGCAAUGUUGGGGUGGAGAUGCGGAAUUGAGCGGGAAGUCAGUUUUUUUUGAGGCUAAUGUUUUGGAGGCUGUAAUUUAACGGAGCACGAGACCUCUUUUCUCGGAGGAGCUACGGCGGCCUGUCCGGGCUCGUUUGAAUUGGUACCUUCUCCUCUUGGUUGUGUUGUGUGUUUGUGUGCUGAGGUCUCUGAUGCUUGCAGACCCACUUGCUUGGGAUAGGGGAUCGGAGAGAAACAGAGUGGAGACCCGUUCUCUCUGUGAGGCCGCAGGGUUUAAGAGAGCUGACAGGGGGCAGGGCUGGGAGGUUUUGCAGUGGAGUUCUGUUGGGUCUUUGUUCCACCGCUGUCGUGUGCUUUUGCGUUGUUUUUCCCUUAACUCUCUUUUGGGGGAUCUUUUUCUUUUGCCGCCUGGUGCUGCUGGCUUAAUGGAUCGGAGAUUCGAGCGCGAUAUCCCCCUAUGAGAUGGGUUUCUCAGUUGUUCCCUUUUUUUUUCUAUGACGGGUGCACCCUGGGGCCAAGAUGCUUAUGACCCCGGAUCUUAAGGCAGGGUAUUCUGGUGCCUGGGCAGAUUGGAAGCGGGCACAUUGGCCAGCAUUUGGGGUGGCUCAGGGUGUGUUGACUUGCCAACCAGGUGGGAAAGGACCGAGCCAUCAGGUGCCUGCCCUGGCCAACUUUCAGGCGAGGUUCCUGCCCAUUUUUGCCGGUAGUGGGAAAUGGGAAUGCAAUCACGGAUGCGACUUGGUCGUUGGAUUGUGCCGUUGGGCCGCAGGUUUGGUAGAGAAUUUGGCGUGAUGGGUGGACAACGCUAUAGAGUCUUGUCUGUGCUUUCUAUGCGCUUGGCUACGGUUCCAGACCUACCUGCGUCCAAGGGGAGCGGGGACUUUCUGUUCGUUUUCGCGUGCCUAUACGUUGGGAUUGAUGUUAUCGUCUGGUAGGGUGCACGGGGCGGUGGCCGGAGUGUCGCAUUGUUCAUUGACAGGCUCCGUGAAGGGUUUGCGCAUUAUUCGCCUUAGUGUUUUUGGGGAGCGCAGUUUCAGGGACAGCUAGCUGCGUACCCAGGCAUAACAUUUAGCCAGCGUCUCCAGCCCACAGACGCAUGGUCGUCAGGGGCGAGUCAGAGCGGACCAUACAGACUCUAGAGGACAUGCUGAGGGCAUGCGUCCUGGAUUUUGGAGGAGGAUAGUAUCGACAUGUGAGACUGGUUGAGUUUGCGUACAACAACAGCUAUCAAACGAGCAUUCAGAUGGCUCCGUUUGAGGCGUUGUAUGGACGCAGAUGUCGAUCCCCCCUGUUUUGGAGUGACGUGGGUGAGCGGAGGACACUUGGACCAGAUAUUCUACUUGAGGCUGAGGAAAAGGUGAGAGUCGUUCGACGACACCUUUUGACAGCUCAGAGCCGACAGAGGAGCUACGCCGAUACCAGGAGACGAGACUUGGAGUUUCAGGUUGGAGAUCAUGUUUUUCUCAAAGUCUCGCCGUCCAGAGGGAUUCGCCGAUUUGGUGUUCGUGGAAAGCUUAGUCCACGGUUUGUUGGCCCUUUCGAGGUAUUAGAGCGUGUUGGACCGGUUGCAUACAGGAUAGCUUUACCCCCGCGACUUGCUGGCAUCCAUGAUGUAUUCCAUGUCUCGGCGCUGAGGAGAUAUGUAUUCGAUCCAUCUCACGUGACUGACUUCACUCCACUAGAGAUUGGUGAGGAUCUGAGAUACGAGGAGCGACCGGUGCGGAUUCUUGCUCGUGAGACGAAAGAAUUGCGCAACCGGGUAAUUCCGUAUGUGAAGGUGCAGUGGAGCAACCACGAGGAGCGAGAGGCGACUUGGGAGCCCGAGACUGUGAUGAGGGAGUCCUACCCCGACCUGUUCGUUUCUCCGUGUUGAGGUAUGUUUUAGUUUCGAGGACGAAACUUUUGUAGUGGGGGAGAAUGUAGUAUCCUUAUACCUAUGUAUAUGAUGACACGUGCCCCCAUGCAUGCAUGCAUGCAUGGAUGCUUAUCCAUUAGCGGGUUGCAACCUCCGCCUCCUUAAUUAACUUUGCAUUUUCUUCUUCUCUCUCUCUCUCUAGAACCGAUUGUGAGCAAGGUGGAGUUCGGGUGGAGUUUCGUCGCCGACGUGGUGCCGCGGAGCCGUUCGGGCGCACGUUGUGUCGUAUUGGUGCUGUGAGGAGCUUGGGCGGGCGUGGAUUUCCGUCGUCCUCGACUUUGCGCCGACUCUUGAGGAUCUAUCGAGGUGAGUGCUCUGUGGAAUUGCUGCGCAUACUUCGGAUAUCAUCAAUUCGAGCUUAAGUGCUGAUUCGCAGGAUUUUGUCGUCGACUGUUAGUAUUUUAGCUCGUACGCGACGUAGGAGCAUCGGAUUUCGACGAGAUUUGGUUCGUUGAAACCGAGACUUCGAGACGAAUCCAUAGGAUCCUUACUCGCCCGAUUUGGAGAAGGUUUGCUCUGUCGAAAUCCCUUUUUACUGAGUUGCUAUUUGCCGAGCAGAUUUCAGAGAUGCUGUUUCGCAGGUUCCAGCGUCGACGUUUCGUAUUCUGGCCCGUUCUCUGCGUAGGAGCGUCGGAAUUCAGCGAAACCUGGACCAUUGGAUUCGUGACUUUGAGACGAAGCUUCAGAACCCUUGUUUGCUGAAUUUGGAUAAGGUUAGCUUGGUCGGAUUUAAUGCUUUCUUCGCUGCUGUUUUCUGGGCAGAUUUCGUGAUUUUGAGUGUAAUUGGGUUUACUUCUUCGCAGCAGGAGAACCGGGGACUUCGACGGACCAGCGAGGGAUCAUUUUGGAUCCGGGCCACUUUCUUCGCUGCCAGGAGUUGCUUGAGAGGUGGGUUACAUCGGCUUUACUCCUAAGUUCUUAUUGGUCGACAUGUAUAGAUUUUGAUUUCGGUAAUUAAUGUUAGCUCAAAUUCAUGGAUUAAUUGUAGAUUGGUCAAUCUGAAUUUUGGAGCAUGUUUUAUAAAUUAAGUAGGUUAUACAUGUUGGACUUGGAAAUUGAAUUAGGAGAAAACCUGCGAUUUGGACCUGUCACUUGUUUAAACUGCCUGAUUUAGCUCUAGGAGCCGUUAUUAAAUUGUACUGUCGCAGUAUCUUCGAGACGAGUACUCCAGGUAGUUUAGAUUACAUUUACGCUCGUGCUGGUGCGCCGAGUGGAUUUUUACACGAUCGUUCAGGUUGUUCCGGACUGGUGGGUGCCGUCAGAGUUGACGGUGGACCCGUAUCGCCUUUUUGGCGUCAGAUUGUGUCGAGGGCACAUUACCUGUUGGUGGUUAGACCAGUUUGAGUCGGUUACUUGACUUUGGCUUUUCAGAGCCUGUUUGAGCUCGACAGAGAUACGCUGCAUACUCGGUUGGGUAGCGCCCACGAGUGCCACUCCGGAGUCAGGCUUGUGCUUUUGCGUUGGUGUCGCUCAUGCCAGUUAGACUUGCUCUCCACGGACCAGUUAGUGUGGAUAGAGCCGAUAGUCGCAGCGGGGCAGGGACGGGUGUAUUCACAGUCCCGGGGACGGGUAUGCUUACAGUCCCGAUUUGGAUUGGGUCAGAUUUGACAUUUCCUACAGUCGGUUAGUGUAGAGCAUGAUAGUGUAGUGGAUGAUAGCGGUAGAGUGUACUUCCUGCUUUUCCUUCUAUCCUUGCUCCCUUCUGUAGACUUAGUGGGUGACCGAUGUCGUGUUGGGCGGUACCCACUGAGGACUACUCGUUUUUACAGUAGUUCUCACGCCCAGUUGUUACUUAUGUUUUGCAGAGUCACAGGUGCCGGCUGCUGCAUCUUCCGCCGACCAGGAUCGAGGCAAGGGCGUUGCGAGCUAGAGCCCUACCCGACAGUCAGAGCUAGAGGCUUUCCCCUACUGCAGGUAGUUGUUGUUUUGGAGUUUAUAUACAUAGUUGUUUAACUCGCCAAUGCGAGUAGCCUUGUAUUUUGGAUUCUAGCUAUGUAUAUGAAACUCAGUUAUUUAGUUUUGUUGAGCAGCUCUAUGCUACUGUUUGUAGUAUCGUAUUUCUUCAGGUACUUUGACGCUUCGUAUACAGGGAAAAUUCCUUUGUAUACGGCGGAUUUGUCGGCGUGCCCGGGGAACGAGAUAUCCGGGGCGUGACAGAUACUACUUACCGUGCAAUGAAUUAAAUGGUGAUCAUUCAAGAAAACUUUGUCUCUUUGCCUCCUCACUCCCUCUUUCAUCUACGCCCUUCUUUUCUUCCUUUUUACUUUUGCAUGCUCUUUACUUGACUUCUAGGGUGUGUUUGGUUCGCACUACGAAAAAUUAUUAGCAAUAAAAAGAUUUUCGAGAAUCUUAUUCUUAUUUAUCAUAUUACAAAAAUGUGGUAUUUCUGUAUUUGAUUCGCACGGUCAUAUUAUUUAGUCAUAUUAUUUAAAUAAAUUUACAAAAAAUAUACAAUUUAUUUAUUUAUUUAUUUUGUUAAUUUUAGAUAAUGAUAUAAAAAAUUUCAACAUCUUUUUAGAAAAAUGGGAGAGAGAACAUAGGUUAGAGAGAGAGCAUAAUUAAAGAAAUAGAAAGAGAAAUAGAGUCGAAAUUAGAGGGAGUGAGAGAGUUGAGAUUUUAGAAAAAGAGAGGGAGAGAGAGCCUAGUUUAGAGAGAGAAAAAGAUAAGUUUAGAGAGAGAUAUGAGGUUAGAGGGUAAAGAAAAAUAAUACCAACUAGCCGGCGGGUAGGGAAAAAUAAAGAGAUUAGACAUAUUAUAAUUACUCCAAUCUAUUAAUAUGAGGAUACUCACCCUCUCUCAAGGGAAUGAGAUUAGUACUUUGGAAUGAAUCUUAUUCCCAAGUAAAUCCAAUUGGUCCAAAGUACAGGAGAUUAAUCCAUCUUUCCGGGUGGUUGGUUUAAUAUUAUAAUCUAACGGGUGGAAAUGAUCAAAGGGUAGAUCUAACGGUAGAAAACUCAAUAGUACUAAGGACUUGGUACUAUCGAUAGUAUAGUAGCCGGACUCUAUAUAGAAUUAUGCUACUAUACUAUCAAUAGUACCAAAUUCUUGGUACUAUUGAGUUUUCGGCCGUUGAAUGAAAAGAUGUGCGGUUAGGAUGAUAGUAGUCCCCUAGGGUUGAGUGGGUGGUUGGUUUAAUAUUAUAAUCUAACGGGUGGAAAUGAUCAAAGGGUAGAUCUAACGGUAGAAAACUCAAUAGUACCAAGGACUUGGUACUAUCGAUAGUAUAGUAGCCGGACUCUNNNN